AACGAAUUAAUAUGGCUGAAGCAAUUGUGUCGAUUGUUAUGGGAAGGCUCGCUGAUUUAUUGAUUGAAAAACCUCAAAUCCUUAAUGAAGUGAGCGAUGAAAUUCAACUAGCUGUGACCGAGCUCAUGCGGAUAAAGACAUUCUUACCUGAUGCUGACUCAAGGAUUGAUGUAGAAAGAAUCUGCAUUUUGGUCCGGGAGGUACGAGAGCUUGCCUAUGAUGCUGAGCAUGCUGUCGAAAGUUUUGUCAUUAAAGCCUCAUCCACUAAAAAACCAUUUCAGUGGAUGAACAGAGUCAAGUUUUCAGGAAAGAUGAAAGAUAUACAAAAAAAGAUGUCCCUCCUCUUCAAUCUAUUUUCUGAUUAUAAUAUCAGACCAAUUUCAGAAUCAUCAACUUCCUCCAACAGAGGACCGGGAAAGCUAAAGCGAUUUUACUCUUUCACUACUCCUGAACCAGAGAUAUUUGUUGGAUUUCACGAGGACGUUGAAUGCUUGGUGCGACAUUUGGUGAAUGAAGCUGAUGAUUCUUACCCACUGAUAUCUAUUUGUGGAAUGGGGGGUCUGGGAAAGACCACUCUAGCUCAAAAGAUAUACAAUCACUCUGCCAUCAAGACUAGAUUUGCUGGUUUAGCAUGGGUAUCAAUCUCCCGAAAGUGGCAAACAGAUCGUGUGUUGCAGAGAAUUCUCAUAUGUCUCGUCCCUGAGAACAAAGAUUCUAUCCUUAAUAUGGACACUGACAAGCUAGUGGAGUAUAUGCUACAAAUCCAGGAAAGGAAGAAAUGUUUGAUAGUUCUCGAUGAUAUAUGGUCAACUGAUGCUUGGGAUGCAUUAAAAGGUGCGNAGAAAUGUUUGAUAGUUCUCGAUGAUAUAUGGUCAACUGAUGCUUGGGAUGCAUUAAAAGGUGCGUUUCCAGCCGGGAAGUCCAUAAGCAAAUUAAUGCUUACAAGCCGUAAUGCUGAGGUUGCUGAGCAUGUAAAUUUAAACGGACUCAUUCACCAGCCAGAAUGUCUAAGUCCAGAACAAAGUUGGGAGCUACUCAAGUUGAAAGCACUUCACACAGGAAACUGCCUAGGUACAUAAGUUUAUUGCGUUAAUUAGAGUUCAUGUAUUUUUUUAACCAUAUGUUUUGAUCGGCAACCUUAACGAACAACAUUUUUUGUUACUUAGUGUGAUAAGUUUGGUUAGAAAUUUGUCAGUAACCUUAAAGAACAUUGUUAUGUUCAAUAACAUUUUGUUCGUGUUCGCACGUUUGAAUUCAGCUCAUUUACAAACCUAUGUAUUAGAAUUGUAAACGAAUCUUACAGUUCAUUAACUGCGGUCUUGAGGUUGAGUUAAUGAGGUCGAGUUCGAACCAUAUAUAUUUUGUUUAAUAACCUUAACGAACUGUAUGGGGUUCAAUAAUUUUUAUUUUCUACUAAAUUUCGGUUCAGUAAAUUUUUCUUGUGUUGACUCGAAGUUUAUCCGAGUUAAGUUCGUUUAGGGCUCUAACUUGAACUUGUCUUUUUAACAUAGUAGUUUAUUUAUAUAUAAUUAAAAUAUAUAAAUGUUGACAUCCAUACGGUUGGAUCGAUGAAAAAUAUUUUUAAAAUUAAAUGAGGACUAAAUACUAGUUAGUGGUACUAAUCAAACUAAUGCUUGACUAAUAAAAUAAAAAACCAAAUAAAAUUAUUUUUUCGUAACUUUGGUUACACCAUAUUUAGUUAAUAUUCUCUUUAUCGAUUUGAUAUAUUAUAUGUAGAAUUUUUGGUUCAACAACAUGUAUAUAUUAUAAAAAAUCUGAAAAUAUUACAUUGUUUGGAGUUAUAACGAGCCGAACUCGAGCCGAACGAGUUCGGACUCGGUUGGCUCGAGUUCUUAACGAAUCGAGCCAAACCGAGCUUUUAUCGAGCCGAGCUCGAGCUUGUUCGUGAACAGCCCUAUGUAUGUACACUUAUGAUUCCAGUUUCUUGUGUAUUGCAGACAUUACCAGAGAUGUAAAUAGGAUGGAAGAACUGGGAAGGGAAAUGGUUGAAUACUGUGCCGGUCUUCCGCUAGCUAUAGUCAUUUUGGGUGGAAUUCUUGUAACAAAACCGUCGCUGAUAGAGUGGGAGAAGGUAUAUCGUGAUAGUAAAUCAUCCCUGAAGGCGGGGAAAGGAUUGGGAGAAGCCUAUCAAAGGGAAAUAUUAAGCUUUUUGGUUUGGAGCUACAAUGAUUUACCCCCUCAACUGAAGCCAUGCUUUCUAUAUUUAUCUAAGUUUGGUGAAGAUAAAUGUAUAAAAGUAAGAACUUUGUAUCAGCUAUGGAUCGCUGAAGGCAUGGUACUCUCAAGUGACAAAAGAAAGGGAGAAACAAUGACACAAGUGGCCGAAUCAUACAUGGGAGAAUUGGUCCAAAGGAGUAUGGUUCAAGUGACAUUUAACAAUGUGGAAUCAUCACUUACAAAGUUUAAAGAUUGUUCUCUGCACGAUCUUAUGAGAGACAUGUCUUUAAUACAAGCAAAAGCAGAAGAUUUUUUUGAAGUAAUACAUUUCCAAAGUGGAAAUGAGUUUCAUCUCAAAUCUGCAGAUUCAAGGUCAGCUUACACUCGACUUGUGAUUCAUUUGGAUGAGGAAUAUUCUAGCAAAAAAGCUAAUUACUACUUUUCUAAGAAAGGCAAUCAAAAAAUCUAUCGAUCAAUGUUAUUCAUUGGAGACUUUGGUCGAAGAAGUUUGCCACGGGCAUUGGGGUCACAUGUUGGCAAUUUUAGGUUCCUGAAAGUGUUCUCUGUGGAGAAUUAUACCAAAUUUUCUGGUGCAUCUUCUCAUAUUAAUUUUGGAAGAGCAUUAGGGGGCCUUGUUUACUUGCGAUAUCUUAGUGUAAGGGGCAGUAAUUUGUUGGUUUUUCCAUCUCUACAAAAGUUAGUGCUAUUACAAACUCUCAAAUUUGAUAUGUUGAACAAGAUAUAUGUUUUACCAUGGUUGUCAAGAGAUGUUUUGCUCAAGCUGGAUUGUUUGCGGCAUCUGUAUUUGCCUAAAUUUCAAGUUGACGUUAUGGGAAGGAAAUCAAAAUUUCGGUUUAAUGGGUUGAGCAAGUUAGAGACACUUGAGAACUUUCACACUAGUUGGUGUGAGGUUAAGGAUCUACGUGAACUGAUCCAUCUUCGGAAACUAAUGCUAACAGUGAGAGGUAGCUUUGAUAUUCUGGAGGAAAUGAUGAAAAACUUGGUUUAUAUAGCCUCCUCACCAUCUUCAUGUCUGAGGUAUUUGGGUGUUUGUAUUGUUGAUUGUGAUAUCGAGCUGAACAAUGGUCUUACUAUCUUGAAACAGUUGGUAUAUGCUGAAAAUUUGAACCUUCGGGAAUUGAUAAUAUAUGGGAGUAUCCCGGAGGUGGGUCUAAUAUUUCCGCUGCGAUAUGUUGGGGAUAAUAAUGCUCAUGUAUCUACAGUUCAUAUUAUAAGUUUAAAUUUAUGGGAAUCAUAUCUGGAAGAAGACCCAAUGCCAAUACUGGAAAUGCUUCCAAUGUUGGGUGCUCUCCGUAUAUUUACGCAUGCAUAUGUGGGGAAGGAGAUGGUAUGCUCCGCAACCGGUUUUCCUAAACUCGUCACUCUUAUUUUGGACAGCUUCCCGAACCUUGAGAAAUGGAGGGUGGAGAAAGGAAGCAUGCCCAUCCUUUCAUGGUUGCGUAUUGAAAGAUGCAACAAGUUGGAAGAGCUCCCAGAAGGCCUAGUGUUCCUCGAGUCCCUUGAAGUACUAAAAAUAUUCCGAAUGUCUCAAGAUUUCAAUGUUAGGCUUAUAAGAGAUGAUGGUGAACAAGGACCCGACUUUCACAAGAUCUCUCACGUCCCUACAAUCAUUAUCGACGAUCAGGAAUACAAUUGAAUGUUUUUGUAGUUUGUAACUUUUUUGUUUUUGUCCUCAAGAACAGAUUUUCUUGAUAUUUGUCACAUAAAAUAUAUAAGAUAUGAGAUCAUUUUGUGUUCCUCUCUAUCUAACAAAACAGCUCAUAGAGCUUGAGUGACUCUUAUAUGGCUAUACCACAAGAAGCCUAUCACAAGAACUCUGCAUCCCAUUCUUAAUGAGUUGUUUGAUAUUUAACACUUAGAAAAAAUUUCAGUUGAACUGCAUGGAGCCAGCUGAUUAAUACAACUAUUAAUUCAUUAUUUAAUUCCUAAAUAAAUAACAAUCAUCUAUCUGUCUACUUAUAUAUUUAAAUGAUAAUCAGGACGACAAAAAGAGUCAGAAAUUAGUUCCGGCUAGCUCCAGUAAACUUGGCUCAACUUAUCUAUUGUGCUAGGAAUGCAAACUCAGAUCUAUAACUAAUACUAACUAAAAUUACUGCAAGUAUAAGCUUUGCUUUGGCAAAGGGGAAUAAUAAUAGUGAACAAUUAUAGAGAAUCUGAUGAUGUGCAGAAGAAACAUGUAUAAGCUGCUCGAUCUCUUAUUCUACUGAUAUUUUAAUACGCAAGUAGAGUUAUUAAUUGAUAAUGUUUUGCUUAUGCCGAGUCAUUUCAUGAUUGUUUAGUAAUUAGUUGUACAACUAUGAGCUGGUCGGUUGUCUGCAUUAUAAGCUUUCAUGGAGGCAGGUUGAUCCGGGAGACUUGUGCGAUGAGAACAGAGGGAACUAUCUUAUUACACUUUCAUUGAUCGUAUCAGGAAAGAGUUCAAGUAUACCAGAAGUAUAUUCUACGUCUAAGCAAAAAUCUUUCAACACAAGUUUAUUCAAUUAACAACAGUCAUAAGCUGUAAGAUCAAUGAUAGACCGCAAGCAAAUGCUUUUUAACAAAAACGUUACCAACAUCGCAUUGCAACAAUAAAUAACAAUGAUAGAAGCGACCGAAAGCAAAUACAAUCCAACAAAAUAACAUCAGCUUCGCAUUGCAAGGUUAUGCAAUUUGAACUUAAGAUCUCUCCAUUAAAUAACAAGCUCUGUACCUUUUGAAAUCAUUUAAUAAUAUCACAUAGAAAAUCUGUAACUUCCCUAUUCUUUGACCGACCUCACCAUGUGUCACAGAACCCAUAGCAACAUCAUAAACAAAUGCUGCUGUACAGUAACAUGGAAUUUAACUAUGACCAGAGAAGCAACAGAGAAUCCAAUGUGCUGAAGACACAUUUAAGCCUAUUCAAAUUUAUAUAAACUUGUUUGGUUUCUGCAGAAGAAUAAGUUAAACAAAUUAAUAAGACCGAAGCAAUUGUGUCGAUUGUUGUGGGAAGGCUCACUGAUUUGUUGAUUGAAAAAGCUCAAAUCCUUCAUGUAGUGAGAGAUGAAAGUCAACUAGCCGUGACUGAGCUUAUGCGGAUAAAGACAUUCUUACCAGAUGCUGACUCAAGGAUUGAUGUAGAAACAAUCCGCAUUUUGGUCCGGGAGGUACGAGAGCUUGCCUAUGAUGCUGAACAUGCUGUCGAAAGUUUUGUUAUUAAAGCCUCAUCCACUAAAAAACCAUUUCAGUGGAUGAACAGAGUCAAGUUUUCAAGGAAGAUGAAAGAUAUACAAAAAAAGAUGUCCAUCUUCUUCGAUUUAUUUUCUGAUUAUAAUAUCAGUCCAACUUCUGAAUCAUCAACUUCCUCCAACAGAGAAUCGGGAAAACUAAAGCGAUUUCACUCUUUCACUACUCCUGAACCAGAGAUAUUUGUUGGAUUUCAUGAAGACGUUGAAUGCUUGGUGCGGCAUUUGCUGAAUGAAACUCAUAAUUCUUACCCACUUCUAUCUAUUUGUGGAAUGGGGGGUCUGGGAAAGACCACUCUAGCUCAAAAGGUAUACAAUCACUCUGCCAUCAAGACUCACUUUGCUGGUUUAGCAUGGGUAUCAAUCUCCCGAAAGUGGCAAACAGAUCGUGUGUUGCAGAGAAUUCUUAUAUGUCUCGUCCCUGAGAACAGAAACUCUAUCCUUAAUAUGGACACUGACAAGCUAGUGGAGUAUAUGCUACAAAUCCAAGAAAGGAAAAAAUGUUUGAUAGUUCUCGAUGAUAUAUGGUCAAGUCAAGCUUGGGAUGCAUUAAAAGCUGCAUUUCCAGCCGGGAAGUCCAUAAGCAAAUUAAUGCUUACAAGCCGUAAUGCUGAGGUUGCUGAGCAUGUAAAUUUAAACGGAUUCAUUCACCAGCCAGAAUGUCUAGGUCCAGAACAAAGUUGAGAGCUACUAAAGUUGAAAGCACUUCACACAGGGAAUUGUCUAGGUAAAUAAUUUUACUUAUGGUUCAUAUACUUUUUUUUUUAUAAUAUGUUUUGUCCGACAACCUUAUAAACAAUAGAACCAUAUUUUUUGUUAAUUGAGUUCGAUAAGUGUGAUUAUAGAUCUGUCUGACAACCUUAAAGAACACUGUUCUGUUCAAUAACAUUUUGUUCAUGUUCGUUUGAAUUCGAUAGUUUGUUUACAAACCUAUGAAGUAGAAUUGUAAACGAAUCUAAUUAGGUGCCCUCUUGAGGUUGAUUUAACGAACUCGAGUUUGAAACCACAUAUUUUGUUUAACAACCUUAACGAAAUUUAUGGGGUUCAGUAAUUUUUGGUCGUGUUGGCUCAAAGUUUAUCUGAGUUAAGUUCUUUUAGGGCUCUAACUUGAACGUGUCGUUUAAACAUUUGCAUUAGUUGAACGACUAAAUUGAAUAUUAUCUUGGCUUAUGUGUGUGUGUCUAUAUAUAUACACACAUAUGAUUCCCGUUUCUUGUGUGUUGCAGACAUUACCAGAGAUGUAAAAAGGAUGGAAGAACUGGGAAGGGAAAUGGUUGAACAUUGUGCCGGUCUUCCGCUGGCUAUAGUCGUUUUGGGUGGAGUUCUUGUAACAAAACCGUCGUUGAUAGAGUGGGAGAAAGUUUAUCGUGAUAGUAAAUCAUCCCUGAAGGCAGGGAAAGGACCGGGAGAAGCCUAUCAAAGAGAAAUAUUAAGUUUUUUAGUUUGGAGCUACAAUGAUUUACCCCCUCAGCUCAAGCCAUGCUUUUUAUAUUUAUCAAAGUUUGGUGAAGAUAAAUGGAUAAAAUUGGAGACUUUGUAUCAGCUAUGGAUCGCUGAAGGAAUGAUACUCUCGAGUGACAAGAGGGAAGGAGAAACAAUGAUACAAGUGGCUGAAUCAUACAUGGGAGAACUAGUCCACAGGAAUAUGGUUCAAGUGAGAUUUAACGAUGUAGAAUCAUCGCUUACAAAGUUUGAAUCUUGUUCUCUGCACGAUCUUAUGAGAGACAUGUCUUUAAUACAAGCAAAAGCAGAAGAUUUUUUUGAAGUAAUACAUUUCCAAAGUGGAAAUGAGUUUCAUCUCAAAUCUACUACAGAGUCAAGGUCAGCUUCCACUCGAGUUGUGAUUCGUUUGGAUGAGGAAUAUUCUAGCAAAGAAGCUAAUUACUACUUUACCAAGAAACGCAAUGAAGAAUGCUAUCGAUCAAUUUUACUCCUGGGUAAGUUUGGAGCAAGAAGUUUGCCACAGGCGCUGGGUUCACAUGUUGCCAAUUUUAGGUUCCUAAAAGUCUUUUCUGUGGAGCACUAUACCAAUUUUUCUGGAGCAUUUUCUCAUAUUAAUUUUGGAAGAGCAGUAGGGUCCCUUGUUUACUUGCGAUAUCUCAGUGUAAGGGACACUAAUUUGUUGAUUUUUCCAUCUCUACAAAAGUUGGUGCUAUUACAAACUCUAAAAUUGGAUACCGACAAGAUAUAUGUUUUACCAUGGCUGUCAAGAGAUGUUCUGGUGAAGAUGGAUUGUUUGCGGCAUUUGUAUUUGCCGAAAUUUAAAGUUGACGUUUUGGGAAGGAAAUCGAAAUUACGGUUUAAUGGGUUGAGCAAGUUAGAGACCCUGGAGAACUUUGACACUAGUUGGUGUGAGGUUAAGGAUCUACGUGAGCUAAUCAAUCUUCGGAAACUAACGGUAACAGUGAGGGGUAGCUGUGAUAUUCUGGAAGAAAUGAUGAAAAACUUGGAUGAUGUAGCCUCCUCACCAUCUUCAUGUCUGAGGUUCUUGGGUGUCACUAUUGUUGAUUGUGAUAUUGAGCUGAACAAUGAUCUUACGAUCUUAAAACAAUUGGUAUAUGCUGAAAAUUUGAACCUUCGGGAUUUGAAAAUAUAUGACCUUAUCCCAGAGGUGGGUCUAAUAUUUCCGCUGCAUGUAUCCACAAUUUGUAUUACAACUUUAUAUUUAAGGGAAUCAUACCUGGCAGAAGACCCAAUGCCAAUAUUAGAAAUGCUUCCAGUGUUGAGUGUUCUCCAAAUGCGUGAGGAUACAUAUGUGGGGAAGGAGAUGGUGUGCUCCGCAACCGGUUUUCCUAAACUCACCGUUCUUAUUUUGUACAAGUUCACAAAACUUGAAAAUUGGAGGGUGGAGGAAGGAAGCAUGCCCAUCCUUUCAUACUUGAUUAUUGGAAGAUGUAACAAGUUGGAGGAGCUUCCCGAAGGCCUUGUGUUCCUCAAGUCCCUUCAUAUAGCUCAAAUGCCUCAAGAUUUCAAUGAUAGGCUUAAAAGGCAAGAUGGUGAACAACGACCCGACUUUAUGCAAAUAUGGAGUUAGCCAGAAAUUUUCUUGUUUUAUGCAAAUCCAGAAAUUUGCUCUCUACUUUUAUUCAGUUUAUGAAAUGAACAGUUUACAAGCUCCGAAAGGUAUAUCUAGUGAUUUUGUCCGCACGUUCUCGACCACUUGCAGACCGUCAAAAUCAAUACCAGGCCACAUUUAUUAUUUUCACACUAACUUUUAAGUUGUGGAGGGUCGAGAAAUCAAAAUGCAUGUAACCAGGAUAAGCCAACAAGGAUGCUGUCAACUGUUUUGUUGCAGGACCAGACUCACAACUAUUUGUCGGUGUUAACUGGCCACACUGGACCAGUCAAGUGUAUUCCAUUUCAAGGGUCUUCUGCUCACCAGUGUAGUGUUUACGAUAUGAAAGUAGACCUGCAAGCAUAAAAGCAAGCAAAUGCCAGCCUUCCUAGCAAAUAAUAACUUACAUUUUGCAAUGACUGUUUCCUAACUUUGUGAGCUCAACUGCAUAGUGACUAAGAAAAAAUCAAAGAAAUCAGUUGAUUACAGGUUCUGUUUCACUGGAGUCCAUAAUUAAGCAUAGCUGGUUGAUCUGAGGCAUUAAUCACCAUCCCCUGAAAUGCAUUUUCUUACUGCUCUGUUGGUAAUUUAUUUUAGUAGCAUUUAAUACUCGGAUUCCUGUUGAUUAUGGUUGCUACCCCUACAACUAUUGUAUAAUGUUAAUGGACAUAGAGCAUCUCCAAUGAGAUUUUUAAACAAGUUCUUAACUCUAAAUUUAUAGAGUAAGUUAAGAAUUAUUGCUCCAAUGAGCUCUAAGAAGCUCUUUAAAAAUUUAAGAGCCUACUAUCUCCUCACUUUUAAAGAGCAUGCAGUAGCUCUUAUCUUUUUAUUUGUGAAUAUAAUAUUAAUUUCCCUCCAAUCUUCUCUCUCUUUUAAUUAACUUUUCUCUCUCAUUUAUACAAAAUAAAUAUAAAAUAUGAAUAAAGAGCUACGUAUAAACAGUAGCAUUAAAGUUAUCAUGUUUUUCAAUGUAUUAAGUCACUAGGAGCCAUAAUUUAUAUUAUUGUUGAAGAAAUGAUUUAGUAGCACCAUUGGAGAUGUUCUUACUCCUUGUGAACAUAGAAUAAAUUAUUUUUUUUGUGCCAAUUCAGUUACGUAAAGAUUUGUCAGAAACAUUUUGUUACUCCACACUAUAAAUUGUCGUGGACGAAUUUUGACCCAUGACAAGUUUUCUCUUCAUAACAUUAUCACUUGGAAAGGUCCUUCAGCAAAUGACAGGAUGUCACCAAUUGCCAAAUUCAUUGCAAUUGCGAACUCUUAAAGUUUUGUUAAUUCAUGUUGGAGUGCAUAUAAGCCUGAACUGCUAUAGCUUUAAUAUACAUGAUUUCCCGACCUGAACUGCUAUGAGUGUUUCCUAGAUUUGAUGGUGAUCAGUAUGUUCAUGGACGGGGCAUCGCCGUCUCAGAGGAGAAGCGGAAGAGGAUGCGACAAUAAGAUUUAUGUGUGUAUUGUAUACUCCCUCCGUCUCAUUCAUUUGUAUACAGUUUCUUUUUCUGGACAUCCCACCAAUUGUAUACAUUCCAAAAAUAGUAAACUUUUAUAAUAUAAAACACCAUUACACCAACUAUUUUCCUCCACUAUCUCCAUUCUAUAAUAAUAUAAACACUAUUACACUCAUUACUUUCCUCCACUAUCUCAAAUCUAUUAUUAAAUAUAAAUGGUCCCACCACUAUACCUACUUUUCAUCUAACUUUACUCAUUUUUUACAUUUUUUCUUGGUCUUCGUAUCCCAACCAAAUGUAUACAAAUGGUUGGGACGAAGGGAACUAGAGCACACGUGAUAGUCAUCAAUCCAGUCAUUUUAAUUUGUUCCCCAAGCUUGGGUGGUGUGGAUGUUAAUAUAGUCUGAGAACCAUUCAUGUUUGAGCAAAGAGUUGUGUGUUAAUAUUGUCUAAGAACCAUUCGUGUUUGAGCAAAGAGUCAUUUGAGUAAAUACGAAUGAUCUCCCCUGUAGAUGUAGAAACCAUUGAAGUUAUAUAAAACUCAAGCAAAUCACAAAUGCACACACAGAUGAGACAAGCUCGUUUUAUUAAUCCGAUAAAUUGCUGCUUACAAAAUGAAAGAAACACACUCUGAUAAACUCAAGUUCAGAGUGUUGGAAAAAAAGUCCUACUUAAACAACUAGCUAAGAUGGUAAGGAUAAACAAGAACUGCUGCCUAUCGUUAAUCCACUCCUACAUGCACUCAUGAAAAACAGCUACAGCUACGGCCUAAUCUUGUGUGCACACUGAUCACAUAGCAACUUAUUUAAAAUAACUAAAUUAAAUAAAAAGCAACUGAAGUAUAUCAGAAUUUAGAUCAAACUCCAACAAGCUCCCCUAAUCUAAACUCGAUUGCAGGUUCUUCACACCCAAUAGCUCACACAUUCCCUCAAACUUAGCCCUUGACAAUGCCUUGGUCAAUACAUCAGCUCUCUGUUCAUUUGUGUUGACAUGUACUUUGAGUAUAAUUUCACCACAUUCUACACAUUCCCAUAUAAAGUGGUAGCGAAUAUCUAUGUGUUUACUCCUUCAUGAAACACUGGAUUCUUUGCCAAAUCUAUUGCCCACUUGUUAUCAAUAUACAGCACCACAGGACCAGCCUUUAUAUUCGUCAUCCGUCUGAGAAGUUUAUAAAGCCAUAUGCCUUGACACACAGCUGCAUUGUUUUUGACAUUGCCAUACCUCUAGUAGACCUCUUGUCAUCCACAUUUCCAACUAGGUCGCUGUUUGAAUAUCCUGAGAGCAAGUAGUUUCCAUCCCGUUUAGAAUAAACCAACCCAUAAUCAAGAGUUCCAUUCACAUAACGAAAAAUUCGUUUUGCUGCAGCUAGGUGCAUGACUAUGGGUCUCUCCAUGAACCUGCUUACUAUGCCAACUGAAUAAGCUAUAUCAGGUCUUGUAAAUACAAGAUGCCUGAGUCCUCCAACCAUACUUUUAAGGCUUAAUGACCUUUUAGCCCUCGAAGUAUGAAUGGAAGUUCCGAUGCGGUCUUGAAGUUUAAAAACGUACAAUUCGACCCUCAAAGUAUUUUUGUCGUACCUUUUAGCCCUUUUUAAAAAUACCGGCAUAAAUCGGGGGAUAACUUGAAAAAUAGGCAAGAGCAUAACCCAUCAGCACACCAAGAAUUCCUACUAAUUCUCAUUUUAAGCCGACCCUUGAACAUAUAUAAACCAUGUAGGCAAGUAUUCCUUAAUUAAAGAAUGAAUAAAACUUUCUCCAUCUGUUAUCUAAACUAUUGAAGCCACCAGCGAAGUUGCAACCUUGACAUGUGCCAUUGCUGCAGCAAAAGAAACCUGAUUAUAUCGCAUUCCGUAUUUUACUUUUUUCAGCUUCUCUAGUUAUUCUGUAGGCAAUCCCUUAGUUGCAAUUUCGCUAACAGUAUCCAGCAGCUGGGUAACUAUUUCUUUUGAGAUGAAUAUAACAUUCCCGACAGAUCGGUGGACACGUAGGUAAAGUAUUCCAUUCAUUAUUGUUUUUCCAUGUCAGACAUACCAAUCAUUGCCAUCUGUCAGCAAGGUGGAUGUUGUUGAGGUUAAAUUUUUCAACUUAACGUUUGCUGUUAGUUUUUUCUAAAAAAGCUAAUAGAAUGAUAUAUAACUAGGGGUGUAAAUGAGUCGGGCCGAGCCGAACUCUAGAGUGCUCGUGUAUCGUUUGUUAAAAAAUUAGCGAACUCGAACUCGAGCUCGUACUUAGAUCGAGCCAAAAAUAUUGUUUGAGGAUCGACUCAUUAAGGAAUAACUCUGUUCACGAACGGCUCGUGAACUGCUCACAAACAUGUCUCACGAGCUUUUGCUCACGAACUGCUCAUUAACUUAUGCUCACGAACAUGUCUCAUGAAUUUUUGCUCACAACCGCUCAUUAAUUUUGUUCACGAGCUUGUUUAAUAAACUUUGCUAACAAGCUAGCUUAUGCUUAUAAAUUUUUAUGAGCUUGUUUGUUAUUUAACUUAAUUAAAAUAAAUAAAUUAAAAUUCUAACAAUAUUUUAAUUUAUGCUCUAAGGAAACAUAAAUUCAUAAUAAAUCAUGUUUACGAGCUAGUUCACGAACUACGCUCACGAGCCAAAUUCACAAACCAUGUUUACGAACUCAUUAUUCGAACUUGUUCACGAACUAUCGAGUCGAACUCUACAGUGCUCAAGUUCAGCUCGUUUAUAUAACGAAACCUAAAAUUGUGCUCAGGAUCGACUCGUUUAUGAAUCGAACCGAGUUCGAACCGAGUUUUUUUCGAACCGAACACCGAGCGGUUAUCGAGCGUAUCAACUCAUUUACAGCCCUUAAUAUAACAGUAUUUUAGUGGGUUAUAUGAGUCGCCGUGGAGAUCGGGUAGCUACUUGAUAUAUUUUGCUGAGUUCGGUGGGCAAUCUGAUAUAAAACCCAAAACCAAACCAAAUUAAUACUAAAUUUGAUAUUUGAUAUAAUAUAUGAUUUUGGUUCAUAAACCCGUCCAAAUCCAUAUUAAUCAACUAAAAUUGGUCCAAAACCUGAGAGGUCUACUUACUCUCUCGACACAAUUGGUAUAUGAUGAAAAUUUGAACCUUCGGGAAUUGAAAAUAUAUGGGCAUAUACCAGAGGUGGAUCUAAUAUUUCCGCUGCAAUAUGUUGGGGAUAGUAAUGCUCAUGUAUCUAAAGUUCAUAUUACAAGAUUAUAUUUAUCGAUUUCAUACCUGGAAGAAGACCCAAUGCCAAUACAAUACUGGAAAUGCUUCCAAUGUUGGGUGUUCUCUGUUUGUUUACCGAUACAUAUAUGGGGAAGGAGAUGGUGAGCUCUGCAACCGGUUUUCCUAAACUCACCCACCUUUUUCUGGACAGCUUACCGAAUCUUGAUAAAUGGAGGGUGGAGAAAGGAAGCAUGCCCAUCCUUUCAUACUUGCGUAUUCAAAGAUGUAACAAGUUGGAGGAGCUUCCAGAAGGCCUGGUGUUCCUCAAGUCUACGGGUGUGCACGGGUCGGUUCGGCUCGGUUUCUACCUAAAACCGUUACCGAACCGUGUAUUUCGGUUCGGUUCGGUUUUAGGGUAGAAACCGUAACCGAACCGUUUCAAACGGUUUUUUUCGGUUCGGUUAACCGUGGUCGGUUUCGGUUAUAAUAUUUGUUAUUUUAUCAUAUAUUCAUAUAUAGUUUUAAUUUAAUUAAUUUUAUCGUAAAAAUAAAAUUAUGAUAGAAUAAUGUGGUUAAAUAAAUUUUUAUUUAACAGUUGAAUAAAUUCUUAAUACUUAUGACUAAUUAAAAAUUAGGUCGAACAUAUAUUUUGAUGAGAAUGUUAAAUAUAUUUAUUUACAUGUUAUAAUUUAAGGAGAUCUAUAAGCCCAUAUAUAAAUCAACAACCUCAUAAUAUUUCGUUAGUAAUAAUUAAAAAUAUAGUAUAAAACAUAUUAGAAGUCAAAGAGACGCGUAAUCCCAAAUAUCGAUCCAUUACCUAAUUUUUAAUGUUUUGAUUCGAUAGAUAAUAAUAAAAUAUUAUAACAUAUUAUAAAUUAAUGAGGUCCGUGGGUUGAAUACCAAUGGUCUCACCAAACUCGAUUGAUCGACCGACCAACUAACCAAUUGAACUUUUCAUUUUUCGGCUUUUGGCUUUAACAGUAUAAUAAUAUAUAGUAUAGUAUAAAUUUAUAAUAUCACUUUUAAUGUGAGACCGUUAGAGUAUUUAAAUAUAAUGUUAAUUAAUUUCGGUUGAAAAAUAUCACCUGUUAUUUAUUAAUAAAUAUAUAUAAUAAUAUUAUGUUUUUAUACAUAUGUCGCCUGUGUUAAUUGUAGAAAAACGAUUUUUUAGUUUGAAAAAAAUAUUUAUCUUGAACUUUAAAUCUUUAAAAUUAAAAAAAAAACAUUUUUUUCAACGGAGAAGUUGUGUUUGUUGAAUUACAUUUAGUUUCAAAUUGCAAAAAUACUUUCUUAAAAAUUUUAAAAAGAUUGUAUAUUAUCGAAAAAGAACUCUAAACAUGUGUUAUAUCCUUAAAUUCUAUACUCUCUGGCGCAGAAAAAUAAAUUAUAUUCGAAACAGAUUAUUAAUUUGAACUUAAAGUAGCAGAGAGGUGUUUCGGUGAAAACCCCCGCUUAGUGCACAAUAAAAUAAAUACACAGUGUGUGAUAUAAUAAGAAUAUAAUAUCUUAGCCAUGUCCUUCUUCACACAGUACUUACCUAAACAGUUCCUAAUGCAUCUGUGAAGUGAGGACUUACCUAAACAGUUCCUAUUAUCACGAAUGCAUCAUGAACUGAGCUAACCCUUCCCUUAAAACAUAAUGCAACGAACCUCGCAAUGUCUGUAAGCCACGAGACCUGGUCUCAACUAUUCUAAUAAGUCGUCCCCAAUCAUUCUUAUCUAAUGUCAUAUCACCCGUUCCCGAUCAUUCUUAUCUAAUGUCAUAUCAUCCGUGAGAUUCAAGGCUCUCAUGUCCAAACUUAAUUGAUCAGCCCAUGUCCGACGAGACUCACUUCUCUUUCUCUAGUCAUUCAUUAUUCUUGAGGUGAACAACAUUUAAAAAAAUUCAGAGCCGAGGUAUUCUUACACAGCAAAAUAUCGAUUUAUGAUAAUGUUGGACAGCAGAAAAUGAAAAGGAAGUAAUAUUUCACUAACCAUAUGUGAUAUCCAAUCCCAACAUUGAAAAUUGCUCACUCGAGAGAGACUGUUUUAGUAUCUCAUUAAUUAUUCUCGAAAUGGACAAGUGUUAAAGGAAUCCCGGAGCCACAAAUAUAACCACCUAACGACAGAAUAUUAAUUUAUGAUAGUACUGGACAGCAGAAAAUCAGAGGAAGUAAUUUUUCACUAGCCAAUAUGUGAUAUAUUUUCAUGCCGCCAACACAACAGAGUACAUUGUUGCCCAAAGGUUGCAACAACACACAAAACUAGGAAACUUCAAAAUCUUGACUCCUGCCCAUUGUUCAAACUUUUUCUUUGUGAUCUUUUUUUAUAAUGAAACACUUUUGUUUUUUUUCCUUUAUAGUUAAAACUACAAUAUAUACAGCGUUUAGGACUGGGAAACUGCUUUCUUCAAGACGCUGAAGGUGACAAGCAUAAGCAGUGAUAUCAUGAUCUUCUUUGAAGCAAGUAUCCGCAAGUUCACCUUCAUGCCAUGGUAACUCAUGAGCUUCAGUGUUGCUCUAAUUACUGACAUAAGCCAAGAUACAACGGACAAGAACACCACUUUCAUUGUGUCUGCAGGUCCAUUCACACUUCUUGUGCCUCCCGACACCUCGACACAGGACCAAGCAGCGCCUUGAUUAUCGGUGGUUCCACUAUGAUUGAGGCCAAGUUUCUCGUUCAACCAACAUGAUAAAGUCACAAGCAGCUUUGCAAGCCAUGCAAUCUCAUCACUGGAGACUGGUCGCAUCAACCAGUCACCCCUGUAUUUCUUACCAGUUUGCUUCUUGUUUCGUAUCAAACUGUUAGUAUUUUACAGACUCUAAGAUGUAAUGUCUGAAGAGUUUUCUAGAUCCAUUUUGAGGAUCAUACAUCUGUACUAUAAAAGAAAGAUCAUGUAAUGCAUUUCAUAAGAUGAAAUCAGUUCAAUAAAAUCUUUUUUAGUAAUCAUAUACUUUCAAUUACAACAGGUGGUAUCAAGAGCACAAGUCUAUCCAUUUCGGCACAAACAUUCUCUACACUAUGACAACAUUCAGCACUAUCUCUGCAGAGUCAUAAAAAAUAUCAAAUAGAUACUUUCUAAUAUCUUUUCGAGAAGUAAACUUUGUUUUUCAUUGAGUUUCACACAUUUUUCUUGGCUGUUAGUAUAAUCAACUAAAAGGCUAUGAAUUCUAGUAUUUUUUUAUAAUAUAUUCAGAUUUUAAGAAAUUUAUUUACUAUUUAUUUUUAAUUUUACAACUAUUUUGUUUCAUUUAUAUCAAAUAAAUAAUAAAUAAAUUUCUUAAAAUCUAAAUAUAUUAUCAUAAAUACUACUCCCUCCGUCCCUCCCAUUUCUUUACACUUUCCCUUUUGGGAUGUCCCAUCCAUUUCUUUACAUUUCAAAACUUAUCCAAAAUAGUCAAUUGGUCCCACCACUUCUUCACUUUUCUUUCCUUUUCACACUACUUUUACUCCACUAUCUUCUUUUUAUACAUUAAAAAUCAAUGGGUCCCACCACUUCACCCACUUUUCUUUCUCUUUUCCACUACUUUAUACAUAUUUCUUAACCUCCGUGCCCAACCCAAACAAUAAGAAAUGGGAGGGACGGGAGGAGUAUAAUUCAUAGCCUUUCAUUUGAUUAUACUAACAGCCAAGAAAAAUGUGUGGAACUCAAUGGAGAAUAAAGUUUACUUUUUGAACGGAUAUUAGAAGUAUCUAUUUGAUAUUUCUUAUGACUUUAAUGAUUCAAAUGAGACCAAAAAUUUCCAAGUGAUCCACCUGAUAUUUUCUAGUGCAAAAAGUGACCUAGUUGAUAAUUAACCCAAAUGAAAACUGCCUUACGAGCUUAUGACUUGUGGGAUCUUGUCGAGAAUGAGUUCCAAAAUCUGCAGAUCCUCAAGCUUCCCCACAAUCAUCCAGGUCAUCGACAAUUUCAGUGAAUGAAUCGCUCAAAAGGAACGCAGAUGCACUAGCAAAAACAACAAGCCGUUGCUGAUUAUAUUUUUCCCAGAAUCAUGAAUACUACUUCUGCAAAACAAGCUUGGGAGACAUUACAAGAUGAAUAAAUUCCAAGGCACUGCAAAAGUUUGAACAAUCAAACUUCAAAGCCUGCGAAGAGAAUUUGAGAAUAUCCGAAUGAAAGACACGAGUUAUUGGAGUUGUGAAUCAGAUGGAAGACCUUUGGCGACAACAUUUCAGAUCAAAGAGUCAUUAAAAAAUUGUUAAUUUCUCUCACAAAUAAGUAUGAUUCUAUUGUUGAAAUUAUAGGAGAAUCAAAAGACAUCUCUAUACUUUCUAUCACUGAACUUGUUGGUUCAUUACAAGUAACAAGCUCAUGAAUAACAAAUCUCUCGGCGAAUGUCGAAGGUGCUUUACAGUCACAACCUAGGAAGCAUGAGUGCAGGUGCGGGUACUGGGGUGCACAAUACGGGGAUACGGGAAUUCGGCAAAUUUAAAAAUAUGGGGAUUCGGGUGCGGGGGAUUCGGCAAUUAUUAAUAUAUUAAAAAUAUAUUUUAUACAUGUAUUUGAAGAGUUAUAUUCAUAUUUAAACUAAAUAAAUGAAUAAAUAAGUUCAAUAUCCUUAACAAUAUACAAUAUAAUUAUUUAAUAACACAAUUAUUGCAUUAUAAUGUAGUUAAGUGAUAGAGUAUUCAAUUAAUCACAGAAUUAAUCAUUAAAAAGAAUCCCUAAGAAUCACCGAAUAUCGAAGAAUCCCAAAAAUCGAGUGUGCGGUGCGGCGAGUGAGUGAAGUAUCCCUGCUUUUUAGGUCACAACACAAAAACUGGCCUCCAUCCAAAGGUUGAAAAUUUAGUAAAGGAAAAAAUGUUAGCAACAGCUUCAAGGAAGAUGCAAGGAAAUCUAAAUUCUACUGCAAAUUGUACAAGACUGUCGUAGUGCUAGUUAAUCCAAAGGCAAAACACCUUAGAUCUAGGAAGUACCGGAAGUACGGUACGCAAAUACGGGGAUUCGGGAAAAUGAGGAUACAGGUAUGGGGAUACGACAUACAUAAAAAAUAUUUGUAUUAUAUAUAUUAUAUAUUUAUUUAUAUAUAGCAAAACUAAAACUAACAUUCAAAUUAAAUCAAAGUACAUAAAAAUCAGCCACCAAGUCACCAACUAUAUACACAUAACCUCACACAUAAAUAUUAUCUAUAUUUUAACCAUAAACUCAUAAUUAAGAAAAUUAUGAGUCAAAGCAGGGAAGAACUUACCAAAGACGUAAAGAGGAUGGAAGAACUGGGAAGGGAAAUGGUUGAACAUUGUGCCGGUCUUCCGCUAGCUAUAGUCGUUUUGGGUGGAAUUCUUGUAACAAAACCGUCGUUGAUAGAGUGGGAGAAGGUAUAUCGUGAUAGUAAAUCAUCCCUCAAGGCGGGGAGAGGAUUGGAAGAAGCCUAUCAAAGGGAAAUAUUAAGUUUUUUAGUUUGGAGCUACAAUGAUUUACCCCCUCAGUUGAAGCCAUGCUUUUUAUAUUUAUCUAAGUUUGGUGAUAAUAAAUAUAUAGAAGUGGGGACUUUGUAUCAGCUGUGGAUCGCCGAAGGAAUGAUACUCUCGAGUGACAAAAGGGAAGGAGAAACAAUGAUUCAAGUGGCUGAAUCAUACAUGGGAGAACUAGUCCACAGGAGUAUGGUUCAAGUGAGAUUUAACAAUGUGAAAUCAUCACCUACAAAGUUUGAAGAUUGUUCUCUGCAUGACCUUAUGCGAGAUAUGUCUUUAAUACAAGCAAAAGCAGAAGAUUUUUUUGAAGAUAUACAUUCCAAAGUGCAAAUGAGUUUCAUCUCAAAUCUACUGCAGAUUCAAGAAACACAACUCGACUUGUGAUUAAUUUGGAUGAGGAAUAUUCUAGGAAAAAAGUUAAUUACUACUUCUCCAAGAAACGCGAUAAAAAAUGCUAUCGAUCAAUUUUACUCCUCGGUCAGUUUGGAGCGAGAAGUUUGCCACGGUCGCUCGGGUCACAUGUUGCCAAUUUUAGGUUCCUAAAAGUGUUUUCAGUGGAGAAAUAUACCAAUUUUUCUGGUGCAUUUUCCCAUAUUAAUUUUGGAAGAGCAUUAGGGGCCCUUGUUUACUUGCGAUAUCUUAGUGUAAGGGGCACUAAUUUGUUGGUUUUUCCUUCUAUACAAAAGUUGGUACUGUUACAAACUCUUAGAUUGCAUACAUGCGAUGAUAUGUAUGCUUUACCAUGGUUGUCAAGAGAUGUUCUGGUGAAGCUCGAUUGUUUGCGGCACCUGUAUUUGCCUAAAUUUAAAGUUGACGUUUUGGUAAGGAAAUCGAAAUUACGGUUUAAUGGGUUGAGCAAGUUAGAGACCCUGGAGAACUUUGACACUACUUGGUGUGAGGUUAAGGAUCUACGUGAACUAAUCAAUCUUCGGAAACUAAUGGUAACAGUGAGAGGUAGCUGUGAUAUUCUGGAAGAAAUGAUGAAAAACUUGGAUGAUAUAGCCUCCUCACCAUCUUCAUGUCUGAGCUACUUGGGUGUUGCUAUUAGUAAUUGUCAUCUCGAGCUGAACAAUGGUCUUACUAUCUUAAAACAAUUGGUAUAUGCUGAAAAUUUGAACCUUCGGGAUUUGAAAAUAUAUGGGCGUAUCCCAGAGGUGGGUCUAAUAUUUCCGCUUCAAUAUGUAUCUACAAUUGGUAUUACAAGUUUAACUUUAGCGAGUUCAUGCCUAGAAGAAGACCCGAUGCCAAUACUGGAAAUGCUUCCAAUGUUGGGUGUUCUCUGUUUGUUUAAGGAUACAUAUGUGGGGAAGGAGAUGGUGUGCUCCGCAACCUGUUUUCCUAAACUCACCUCUCUUUAUUUGCAAGAGUUCCCAAACCUUGAAAAAUGGAGGGUGGAGAAAGGAAGCAUGCCCAUGCUUUCAUACUUGCGUAUUGAAAGAUGUAACAAGUUGGAGGAGCUUCCCGAAGGCCUAGUGUUCCUCAAGUCCCUUCAAGUACUAGAUAUAUUUCAUAUGCUUCAAGAUUUUAAUGAUAGGCUUAAAAGGCAUGAUGGUGAAGAGGGACCCGACUUUCACAAAAUUUCUCAUGUCGAUAGACUCAUUAUUGACGAUCAGGAGUUAAAUUGAAUGUUCUUGCAAGCUUAUUAUUCCACAAAAUUAUUAGUUCACUUAUAAGGCUAUAAGCCAUAUUUGUCAAAAAAAACAAAAAAAAACUACUCCUUUAGAAAACGGCUCAGCGUUCUCAGGUUCAUAUUCACACCAUAUUCUCUUGUGAACUAGGGGCACAAUUUUCAUCAUUUUCUUUGUCUUACAAGCAUGCAAUCUAGUCAUUUGAAAUUGAUCACUUUAAAGACCAUCCUUGUGUCUCGUUCAUUUUCCUUGAGGUGAACAAGAGUUGAACAUAUUCGGAAGCAAUAAAUAUAACAGUCUUAUAACAGAAUAUCGAUUUAUGAUAAUGUUAGACUGCAGAAAAUGAGAGGAAGUAAUUUUUCACUGACCAAUAUGUAAUAUGUUUUCAUGCUAUUGCGGCCAACACAACAGAGUACAUUGUUUCCCACAUGUUGCAACAAAACACCAAAACUAGGAGACUUCUAACUCUUGACUCCACCCAUUGUUCAAACUUUUUCUUUGUGAUCUUUUUUUAUAAUGAAACACUUUUGUAUUUUUUUCCUUUAUAGUUAAAACUACGAUAUAUACAGCGUUUAGGACUGGGAAACUGCUUUCUUCAAGACGCUGAAGGCAACGAGCAUAAGCAGUGAUAUCAUGAUCUUCUUUGAAGCAAGAAUCCGCAAGUUCACCUUCAUGCCAUGGUCUCUCAUGAGCUUCACUGUUGCCCUAAUUACUGAAAUAAGCCAGAAUACAACGGACAAGAACACCACUUUCAUUGUGUCUGCAGGUCCAUUCACACUUCUUGUGCCUCCCGACACCUCGACAUAGGACCAAGCAGCGCCUUGAUUAUCGGUAGUUCCACUAUGAUUGAGGCCAAGUUUCUCGUUCAACCAACAUGAUAAAGUCACAAGCAGCUUUGCAAGCCAUGCAAUCUCAUCACUGGAGACUGGUCGCUUCAACCAGUCACCCCUGUAUUUCGUACCGGUUUGCUUCUUGUUGCGUAUCAUUCUAGGACUAAAUAUCUCAUCACGUGGAUGCUGAUUUUCUCUUGUCUCGGGGACUGCUUGUGUGUUCCUUGGAGUAGAGUUACCAAAUAAGCACCCCAUCUGGGCUUUGAUAGAAUCUAAACAAGCCAUAUUGUGAGCAUGAUUAUCUCCCAAGACGGUCUGCAGCUCCGACUCAGCACGCAGCACAAAGAGCUGCAAUUACAAUGUGAGUAGUGAGUGAGACUUGAGAUUUAGAAUGAUGUCAAUAUGCUUAAGACCUGCACAAGAAAUACAAGAAACAUAUACAAAAUAAGUAAACGGAAACUAUAACGAAUUGAUCCUGGGAUAAAAAUAUAUACUAAUUAUAAAAGAAAAUUUCCCCACUGUUACCCUGACUCUUCAUUUUGCCUCAAGUACACGUGUCGGACACUCAACACUUGAACAUCGGACACUCAACACUUGAACAUAGGUACAGACACUACAGAACUUAUUUUAGGCCAAAAACAUGUAAAUUUUCAGAAUACUACCGAGACACACUCGGACAGGUAACCAUGUUGGACACUUUUAGCUGACUCCAGGUAAUAUAGAUUCUUCAUAUGUAAGCUUACCAGAAGUAUCCCAUCAGUGCCCAUAAAUGAAAAGAAGCCGAAAGAAACUAUAAAAGAGGAAUAUAGCAGAUUAUUAUUAAUUAGUAGCCUUGCAUCAGUUUCCUCUAUAAUUCAACACAAGUAGCUUACGCGGAUAAAGACAUUCUUACCAGAUGCUGACGCAAGGAUUGAUGUAGAAAGAAUCCGGAUUUUGCUCCGGGAUGUACGAGAGCUUGCCUAUGAUGCUGAACAUGUUGUCGAAACUUUUGUUAUUAAAGCCUCAUCCACUAAAAAACCAUUUCAGCGGAUGAACAGAGUCAAGUUUUCAAGAAAGAUGAAAAAUAUACAGAAAAAGAUGUCCCUCCUCUUCAAUUUAUUUUCUGAUUAUAAUAUCAUACCAACUUCUGAAUCAACUUUCUCAAACAGGGCAAGUUUUCAAGAAAGAUGAAAAAUAUACAGAAAAAGAUGUCCCUCCUCUUCAAUUUAUUUUCUGAUUAUAAUAUCAUACCAACUUCUGAAUCAACUUCCUCAAACAGAGAAUCGGGAAAACUUAAGCGAUUUCACUCUUUCACUACUCCUGAACCAGAGUUAUUUGUUGGAUUUCAUGAAGACGUUGAAUGCUUGGUGCGACAUUUGGUGGAUGAAACUCAUGAUUCUUACCCACUUAUAUCUAUUUGUGGAAUGGGGGGCCUGGGAAAGACUACUCUCGCUCAAAAGAUAUACAAUCACUCUGCCAUCAAGACUCACUUUGCUGGUUUAGCAUGGGUAUCAAUUUCGCGAAAGUGGCAGACAGAUCGUGUGUUGCAGAGAAUUCUCAUAUGUCUCGUACCUGAGAACAAAGAAUCUAUCCUUAAUAUGGACAGCAACAAGCUAGUGGAGUAUAUGCUACAUAUUAAGGAACGGAAAAAAUGCUUGAUAGUCCUCGAUGACAUAUGGUCAACUGAUGCUUGGGAUGCAUUAAAAGCUGCAUUCCCAGCCGGGAAGUCCAUAAGCAAAUUAAUGCUUACAAGCCGUAAUGUUGAGGUUGCUAAGCAUGUAAAUUUGAACGGAUUCAUUCACAAGCCAGAAUGUCUAAAUCCAGAACAAAGUUGGGAGCUACUCAAGUUGAAAGCACUUCACACAGGAAAUUGUCUAGGUACAUAAUUUUACUUGCGUUAAUUAUAGUUCAUAUACUUUUUCCGCACCCUAUCUUUGGUACGACAGCCUUAAUGAGCCAUAUUUUCUGUUACUUGAGUUGGAUAAGUUUGGUUAGAGAUCUGCCCAGACAACCUUAAAUAACAUUGUUCUGUUCAAGUAACAUUUUUUUCGUGUUUGUUUGAAUUCGUUAGUCGUUUACAAACGUAUGUAUUAGAAUUGUAAACGAAUGUAACAGUUCAUUAAGUGCCCUCUUGAGGUUGAGUUAACGAACUCGAAUUCAAACCACAUAUUUUGUUUGAGAACCUUAACAAACUUUAUGGGGUUCAGUAAUUUUUGCUGGUGUUGACUCGAAGUUUAUCGGAGUUAAGUUCAUUAACCAUUUCCCUUCCCAGUUCUUCCAUCCUUUUUACAUCUCUGGUAAUGUCUGCAAAACACAAGAUACGGGAAUCAUAUGUGUGUAUAUAUAGACACACAAACGCAAGCCAAGAUAAUUUCUAAUUUAGUCAUUUGACUGGUGCAAAUAUUUAAAAGACACGUUCAAGUUAUAGCCCUAAUUGAACAUUGUGCCGGUCUUCCGCUGGCUAUAGUCAUUCUGGGUGGAAUUCUUGUAACAAAACCGUCGUUAAUAGAGUGGGAGAAGGUAUAUCGUGACAGUAAAUCAUCCCUGAAGGCGGGGAAAGGACUUGGAGAAGCCUAUCAAAGGGAAAUAUUAAGUUUUUUAGUUUGGAGCUACAAUGAUUUACCCCCUCAGCUCAAGCCAUGCUUUUUAUAUUUAUCUAAGUUUGGUGAAGAUAAAUGGAUCAAAUUAGAGACUUUGUAUCAGCUAUGGAUCGCUGAAGGAAUGAUACUCUCGAAUGACAAAAGGAAAGGAGAAACAAUGAUACAAGUGGCUGAAUCAUACAUGGGAGAACUAUUGCAUAGGAGUAUGGUUCAAGUCAGAUUUAACAAUGUGGAAUCAUCACUUACAAAGUUUAAAGAUUGUUCUCUGCACGACCUUAUGAGAGACAUGUCUUUAAUACAAGCAAAAGGCGAAGAUUUUUUUGAAGAAAUACAUUUACAAAGUGGACAUGAGUUUCAUCUCAAAUCUACUUCAGAUUAAAGGCCAGCUUACACUCGACUUGUGAUUCAUUUGGAUGAGGAAUAUUCUAGCAAAAAAGCUAAUUACUACUUCUCUAAGAAAGGCAAUGAAAAAUGCUAUCGAUCAGUGUUAUUCUUUGGCGUCUUCGGUCCGAGAAGUUUGCCACGGGCAUUGGGGUCACAUGUUGCCAAUUUUAGGUUCCUAAAAGUGUUUUCUGUGGAAAAAUACACAAAUUUUUCUGGUGCGUUUUCUCAUAUUAACUUUGGAAGAGCAUUAGGGUCCCUUGUUUACCUGCGAUAUCUUAGUGUAAGGGGCAGUAAUUUGUUGGUUUUUCCAUCUAUGCAAAAGUUGGUGUUGUUACAAACUCUUAACUUAGAUACAUUCGAGGGUAUGUAUGUUUUACCAUGGUUGUCAAGAGAUGUUCUGGUGAAACUGGAUUGUUUGCGGCAUCUGUAUUUGCCGAUAUUUAAAGUUAACGUUUUGGGAAGGAAAUCAAAUUUUCGGUUUAAUGGGUUGAGCAAGUUAGAGACCCUGGAGAACUUUGACAGUAGUUGGUGUGAUAUUAAGGAUCUACGUGACCUAAUCAAUCUUCGAAAACUAACGGUAACAGGGAGAGGAAGCUGUAAUAUUCUGGAAGAAAUGAUGAAAAACUUGGUUGAAAUAGCCUCCUCACCAUCUUUUUGUUUGAGGUACUUGGGUGUUUGUGUUCUUUAUUGUCAUCUUCGGCUGAAAAACGGUCUUACUAUCUUGAAACAAUUGGUGUGUGCUGAAAAAUUGAACCUUCGACAUUUGAGAAUACAUGGGCGUAUCCCAGAGGUGGGUCUAAUAUUUCCAGUGCGAUAUGUUGGGGAUAAUUAUGCACAUGUAUCUACAAUUCAUAUUACAAGUUUAAAUUUAUCGAGAUCAUACUUGGAAGAGGACCCGAUGCCAAUACUUGAAAUGCUUCCAAUGUUGGGUGAUCUCUUUAUGUUUACAGAUACAUUUGUGGGGAGGAAGAUGAUGUGCUCCGCAACCGGUUUUCCUAAACUCACCAAUCUUUGUUUGUACGAGUUCCCCAAUCUUGAAAAAUGGAGGGUGGAGAAAGGAAGUAUGCCUAUCCUUUCAUACUUGCUUAUUGAAAGUUGUAACAAGUUGAAGGAGCUUCCAAAAGGCCUGGUGUUCCUCAACUCCCUUCAAGUAUUAAGAAUAUACCAAAUGCCUCAAGAUUUCAAUGAUAGGCUUACAAGGAAUGAUGGUGACGAGGGACCUGACUUUCACAAAAUAUCUCAUGUCGAUCCGUAGAGUCCGUAUAGAUAAUGAUCAGGAAUACAACUGAACGUUCUUGUAAGUUCCUAAGUUGUAACGUUUUUGUUUUGGUCUUGAAGAACAGAUUGUUUGAGAAACAAAUCAGAGAUAUUAUUAUAAUAUAUAGUAAUAAUUUUUUGAUGAGAAUAAAGGAGGUGAGAUCAACCUUAUUUAAACUGAUUGCUUCCUAAGGUUAAAUGACACACAUGCAUAUGCUCGUUAGGUAUUGUGUAAUCUCUCUAUUUUUAUUAAUAAAAUACCUCUAUUUACCUGAUAAUAUCUUCACUCCAUCUACAUACAUCAAAAGUAAUUCAUUUUUUUUGUCUUAUGUUGAUUCUGGGCCUUGGAAUGGAAUAACAAACACACGCAGAUGAGUAUAAUUCAAAGUAAUCUUCUUUUGAAUGUAGUUUAUAAUUCACUUUAAUUUUUUUAGGAAAUGAGCAAUAAUAUUGAAGAUUGUCAAAUUCUGGAAGAUUCGCCAUCUGAGGAUUCAUUGUCUACCAAUUUACAAGAUACCUACACUGCUGAAUUGGAUAUAGAGGAUGGUACACGAGCAUUUUUCAUGUCUCAUGAAGAUAUGUUAUUUCAAUCACAAGAAGAAGCAUAUAAUUUUUAUAACAGCUUUGGUUUGACUAAAGGAUGUGCAAUAGGUAAAUUUUAUAUAUACAAGUCUUAUGGUGAGAAGAACUCUUGUAUCUGAUAGAGAAGGUUUCAAAAACAAAAUAAGAGGAUGAUAGUGAGGACAACAUAAAACGACGUCGAGAAACUAGAUGUGGUUGCAAAGGUUCAAUGGAAAUUAUCCUAAAGAAAUUAGGGACAUGGAAAAUGAAAAAAAAAUUAAUAAUAUCCAUUCACAUGACUUGCUCAAGAGUCCGAAUAAGAAAAGAAAAUUAAGGUCUCAGAACAAGUUUCAUUAAGAUGCAACUUAUAAGAAAUUGAUUGAUAAAUUUAGUAGUUGCGGAGUUGGGCCAACAAAAAUAUCAGGCAUUAUAAAUACUGCUAGUGGUAGUGUUACAGAUGUCAUGACACCCCAACAAUAUUCUGAAGAGUUAAGAAUUAAGAGAAGAUAUUCAGAAUCAAGAGAAAAAAUAACAUCGGCAAGGAGUGUAUAAUUAAUGUAGUGCAGAUUAUUUUUAGAGAGGAAAGCAAGAUAUUCUGAAUUUUAGUAUGCCAUUCAACUUGACGAACAUGGCUGUACGUAGAAGUAUUUUCUGGUGUUAUGCCAGAGCGAGAAAAAUUUUAUAAGAAAAUUUCUAAUGUGAUAGUAUUAAUCGGGACUAAUACAAUUUAUUGUAGGAAUGGAGUCUUCUCAAAGAAGUGAAAGUACGAAUUCGUUUUUUGAUGGUUAUGUCAAUAGCAAUACUCCUUUGUCUAUAUAUAUUGACACGUAUGAAAAAGAAAUUACUGGCCAUCGUGAUAGAAAAGAGAUAGCGGAUUGGAUUAAUUAGAACACUGGCAAUGCAUGCCUUGGCAUCUCAGUUAGCUGUAUAUUCAUCAUCUCAUCACGAAAGGGCAGCUAUUUUGAGCGGAUGCGGAUCAAGCAAUAUUAGUUUUACUGGGGGUAAUCGCAUGACUCUCCUAGCCGUUCCACAGGGAGCUAUUUUAUCACUGAAUAGCUCUAAUGACCCAUCACCAAUAGCUUUUGUUUAAGCUCUUCUACCUUUUUUUCUGAUUCAUCCCAUAUCUAUGUCAAGUUCACGUAGCAUCACUCAUGGGGCGCACUACAAUUCCUUGUUGAAAUAUUCACGAACAGGAAGUAUGUAUUAAUAGCAAUGAGUGAUGCUAUUGUUCCUCUGGCAAGUGGUAUAGAAGAGCUUUUGCGCCAUGUUUCUUCACUGAAGAGUUUUGGUGUUCAUUUAAUAAUCAAAAUUGUCAAUAAGAUUUCCUUAAUAGGGGACUCUAGGCUUACUGUGCCCUCAGAAAAAGUCGAUGGGAGUACUUCAAUGAAGAACGCACCUGGUAUGCUUGAAAGCUAAAGUUUAUAAUCUAUUAUGUCUUAUUCUUCAUUACAAUUAAUAAAUCAUCGAUCUUUCAUACGCAAGUAUGGUAAUUUAUGGGGGUUCUACUGUAUUAGACUAUUAGGUGUUGUAUUAGAUGCUGAAUUUCUUAUCUCAGUUAUUAUUUAAUAAGCAUGUAGGAUAAAUUAUUGUCGAUGAAGGUGAUGCAAAAAAGAUGUAUACCGGGUCAUUUUAUAAUUGUUUAGUAAUUUACCCUAGAAGUCCACGAGCUACUCGGUUGUUAAUUAAACUUUGUUUUUACAUGCUCAUCGUUUAGUAAUUUACCCUAGAAGUCCAUGAGCUAAUCAGUUUGUUAAUUAAACUUUGUUUUUACAUGCUCAUCGUUUAGUACUUGAUGAUUGUCAUUUAUUUGGGAAUUGAAUAAUGAAUUAAUAUUUAUAUACACAAAUAGGUUCAUAUCUAUUAAUCGGCUCUAGUUUAACUAUCAGGUUUUAUAAUUGUAAACACUACGCCAUAAAAGGCCUAUCGCAACGCGACCUUUGUAAAUGUUGCUAAAAAAUGUUACCUUAGCUACACUACUUUCACCCUUCCGCAACAUAAUAUUUUUCAUGUUAGCUUAGCCAAAAAGGGGAUGUUGCCUUUGUUAGAAAGUGUUUAAGGGUGCAACAUGGAGACAAAUAUGUUAGCUUAAGCUAUUAAAAUGUGAAAAUAAUAUUUUAACUUAAAAUUAAAGAAAAAAGUAAUUACUUGUAUUAAAAAUAAAAAUAGAAGUUAUGUAAUAAUAUAAACUAAAAAUAUAAAAAAUUAUAUAAAAUAUUAAAUAAUUUAAUAGGUGAAUGAUUUUAUUUUAAAUAAUAAAUAUAUGUUUAUUUAUUUAAAAAGUAAAAUAAAAUGUAAACAAAAAAAUAAAAUAUAAACUAAAUAUAUGUAUAUAUGUUUAUUUGAACAAGCGGGCGUGGUUCCCGGUGAAAUCAGACAAGCAGCGGGACUUUGUUUCACUAACACCCCGCCCCAUUUUUUCACUUCCUUUUCCACUCACACUCAGUCAUCUCUCAUUUUCCACACAGUCCUCUCUCGCUCUUCACCCCCACAUCUCGUCUCUCUCUCUCUCUUUUCACCCCCACAGUCGCCUCUCUCUCUUUUCACCGUGUCUCUCUCGUCGCUCUGGUCUCUCUGGUCUCUCAUCAGCACAUCUCUCUCAUCUCAGGUUUGGAUUUCAAGUUAGGGCAUGGUUUGAGGGCUCGAUGCUUUGAUACUCCUAACUAGGGGUUUCUCUCUUUAAAUCAGGGCUUCAUUUCUUUAUUUUCUUCCAUUUACAGGUCUUUCUUCUUUUAAACUACAUCUAAUCGUACUUUAUCUUUGAUUUCAGGUAUUUUCAGCGGAGGCUUUGCAUUUGGAAUUAGGUAUGGUGGCUUUGAUUUAAUUUUUUUCAUUUGUAUAUAGUGGGGGCUGUUAAUCUAACUUUAUUUUCUAUUUUCAGGGCUUCUUCGGUUGAUUUUAAGGAUUUCAUUUAAAGGAUUUAAAAUUAGGGUUUCAGUUUAAAGAUUUUGCUACAGGUAUCUCCCUCUCUGCUUCAACAUUUUUGAGUUUUUGGGUUUGUUUUUGUUGUUAUUUGUUUUUAUUAGGGAAGUUAUCUGAUUUUUGUUUUUAUUAGGGGUUUGGAAUUGCAUUUUAUGAAUCUUUGUUGUUUUCAUUUUGUGGCAUUUGUUAUUUGUUGCAUUUUGUAGUUAAUAUUUGUUACUAGUUAACAUUUGAUUUAUAUUUUGUGGUAAGUGUAUGUGUCCAGGACUUGUUAUUAAAUAUUUAUGCUUGAAAUAGGUUGUUCUGGUGACCAGUUAUGACUCUGUUUUGUGGUUUCUAUAUGUAUGCUCUGUUUAUAACUUAAAAAAUUUGACAAUUAAGAGUAGCUGGUGUUGAUUCUCUGUUGAACAUUUGUAUAUUUUUGUGCUCUGCUGCCAUACAUGUAAGAUUCCAUUGUAGAUAUUGUGAGCUAGUUGGUUAGAUGCCAUAACAUAUUAUCUUGGCUCAUAAACUCUAUGUAUACUCUAUAUAUAACUUAAGGGAAUUGCGAUAAAUUUCUAUGUAUGACUUACCUGAUUAAAAGAAUAUUGUUGUUAAUGAUUUGUAUGAUUAAUAAUAUGCAUGUGUUUGGUCUUAUAUUUGAAAGUGAAACUAUAAAUUAUGACAUAUAUGUAGAAUUAAAAGUAGAAUUGCAAAUUUUUUUGGAUAAAAUGUUGCAGUAGCCUAUUUAAAUGUUGCAAAACUUGUAUUUCAAAACUGUUGCAGUAUAGGAAAAAUAUGUUGCCAAUUUAGCUGCUGCCACCUGGCAACUUGAUGGCCCCCACGUGGGCCCCACAGUGGCCCCCACGUGGGCCCCACAAUGGCCCCCACGUGGGCCCCACUUUUUUAAAAAAAUAAAAUUACUCUAAGGUAACAUAAUUUUUUGUUGGAGUAGGAGAAUAAAAUGUUAGAUUAAACACUCUUUGCUAACAUAUCUCGGUUGUUGCUGUAGGCAAACGAUAUGUUGCCUUAGACCCCCUAAGGCAACGGCAAAAAUCCUAUCAUAAAAUAAAUGUUGCCUUAGCCCUUUUAUGGGCCUUUAGCAACAUAUUGACCCCAUUCUGCAACAAUUUUUUUAUGUUAGAUAAGGCCUUUUAUGGUGUAGUGAAACUCGAUGCGGCUAGCUUGAGUAAACUCGACGCGGCUAGAUUAGUAAAUUCGACUUGACUUACACAAGAAGUGAGCGGGAGUCGAAUAAUAUAUAUAUUCGAGAAAACAAAGGAUAAACACAUAACUUGGAUUAUCUAAUAACGCUUAACUCGACUCACACUUAUUUAUUGUGCUAGCAAUGCAAACUUGGACUCUAACUAAUAGGGUUAGUUAUCACUAGGUCACUUUUUACACCAGAUAAUAUCAAGUGAUCACUCGAAAAUUUUUGGGCUCAUUUCAAUCACUAAAGUUAUAAAAAAUAUUAAAUAUUUACCUCUAAUAUAUUUUCGAGAAGUAAACUUUAUUUUUCACUGAAUUCCAUACAUUUUUCUUGUAUGUUAGUAUAGUCAAAUGAAAGGUUAUGAAUUUCAGUAUUUAUGAUAAUAUAUUCAGAUUUUAAAAAAUUUAUUUUCUAUUUAUUUUUAAUUUUACAAUUUUUUUUGUUUAACUUAAAUCAAAUAAAUAAGUACCCCAUCCGUGCUUUUACAUAUAAUCAAGCUCUCAUGGACCACAGAUGGGUUGAUGCCAUGAAUAAAGAGCUUCAUGCUCUAGAAACAAACAAUACCUGGCAAGUAGUUUCACCUCCCCCAAAUAAAAAGGUCGUUGGUUGUAAGUGGGAUUAUAAGGUAAAAUACUUGUUAGAUGGCUCUUUAGACAAAUUCAAGGCAUGCCUCGUUGCUAAGAGAUACACAUAGAUUGAAGGGCAGGAUUAUCAUAAUACCUUAUCACCUGUAGCUAAGAUGGCUACAGUUCAGACUGUCCUGGCAUUAGCCACUGUCAAACAUUGGGACAUACACCAGUUGGAGGUCAAUAAUGCGUUCCAUCAUGGUGAAUUAUCUGAAGAAGUUUAUAUGGAACUUCCUCAAGGUCACCCUGUUCAUGGUUCUGGUCUUGUUUGCCGCUUAAUCAAGUCUAUAUAUAGUUUGAAGGAAGCAUCACAGUUAUGGUUUGAGAAACUUGCUUCAGUUUUGCUUGACCUUGGGUUCACUCAAAAUAGUUGCAUAAUACUUUUUAUUUGUCAACAAAACAGAUGUUGUUUUUAUAGUUGCCCUACUUUAUGUCGGUGACACAUAUACUUCUCACUGGUAACAGUAGUGAGUUUAUUUCUCAUGUCAAAUCUGUUUACCAUUCUACUUUCACCAUCAAAGAUUUGGGCUUAGCCAAGUACUAUCUUGGUCAUGAGAUACACAGAACUACAGAAGGUCUGUAUUUUCACCAGCACAAGUUCGUACAUGAUAUUCUUCUCGAAGCAGGUUUGGAACAUUGUAAUCCCUUGUCUUUGCCUGUUGAUCACACCAUUAAACUUUCACCCACUGAUGGUGAACUUUUAUCUGAACCCACCAUUUAUCAAAAGUUUGUGGGGAAGUUGCUUUACCUAACCGUUCAAGGCCUGACAUUACAUAUGUUGUACAUCAUUUGAGCCACUUUUUGCAAAAUCCUCGUGUACCUCAUAUGUUGGCAAUGCAAUGUGUUUUACGUUACUUAAAAGGUACACCCUACCAAGGCUUGUUCUACUCUGCAAAUACUACCCUCAAACUUCAGGCGUAUUGUGACAGUGACUGGGGGUCUACAUUGGAUUCUUCUGGUAUGCUGACAAGCAUCACUAGCAUGUGUUUUACUUUGGGAUCUUCUUUUGUUAACUGGCUUUCCACCAAGCAGAAGGUCGUUUCUCGAUCCACAGCUGUGAUUGAACUCGGGGCUGUUGUAGAUACUGCAUGUGAGGUUUCUUGGUUCAAUCUGCUGUAAGGUGAACUCCAAGUACCUCAGUCUUUGCAUGUUGUAAUUCAUAGUGAUAACCAGGCCGCAUUAGAUAUUGCUGCCAACCCGGUUUUUCAUCCUCGUUAUCUUCCUCGUGCAUCUCAGCUGGCUAAUAUUUUCACAAAAUGCUUGGGGCGAUCAGCUCAUUGGCAUGUAUUAUCUAGAUUGAAUGUUUCACAUCCACCUUCAAUCUGAGGGGGCUACUACACUGCUUAUCACCAGAACUCCACUAUCUCUUAUCAAGGCUACUUAUCAUAACCGUUUUAUAACAGAAUUCUGUAUAUAGUGCGGAUAGCUUGUAGUUGUUUCUCCAAUCUUCUCUAUAACAAACAUUUUUCUCUCUUCAAUAAUGUGAAUAUGUUAAAGUCAAUACUAGUCCCAAGUAACCCCAAAGUCUAAGAUAGAGCUACCAAUUUUUUGGUUUCUAGUUAUGUAGUCCAGCAGUAUAAUAAAGGCAACUACAAGUUUCUGGUUGUAUAGUUUAUGGUUGAACUAUUAUAUGAUUAUACAAUUCAACGGCUUAGAUUAUGUCUGGUAUAUAUAUUGUAAGGUGUAUUUGGGCCUGUUAAACAGCCAUCAAUCGGCGGAAUGCGAUAUAUGGUUACAUUUAUUGUUAAAGCAAUGUUUGCUUUAAAGAUUUAAUCGAAGGAGAGUCGACCCACAAAAUCAAGUGCUUACGUAUAGACAAUGGAGGAGAGUAUAGCUCAAAGGAGUUUAGUCAAUAUCUACGAGCUAAUAAAAUCCGUCAUCAAUUUACAUGUGCAAACACACCCCAGCAAAACGGUGUUGCAGAGAGGAAAAAUCGACAUCUUGCUGAAAUAUGUCGAAGUAUGUUACAUGCUAAUAACGUGCCUGGAAAAUAUAGGGCUGAAGCUAUAACUACGGCAUCUCUUGUCAUUAACAAGCUUCCUCAACCAAGGCUGGAUUUCGUCACGCCUUUUGAAAAAUUAUGGACAAAGAAACCUGCUGUAAGUUAUCUUCGGGUGUUUGGUUGUGUUUGCUAUGUAUUUGUUCUUGAUCAUUUACGUAGCAAGAUUGAUAGGAAAGCAGUCAGAUGUAUCUUUGUGAAAUACGACAAUCAACGAAAAGGAUGGAAGUGUUGUGAUCCAACAACCGGAAGAUGUUACACAUCACGUAAUGUGGUUUUUGAUGAAGCAUCUUCGUGGUGGACUUCAGAGAAAGAAAUAGCGCCUAUCACUGAAGAAUUUGAGAAAAAGAUGGAACAAAAGAUGAGUGAGCAUAUUGUUCAAAUUUUUCCAAGUUCAGAUGGAGAUAUACGUAAUGAUGAUGAGCCAAACGUCACAAAAAAUCCUUGUAAAUCUGGUAUGUAUUAACAACCAGAUGAAAGCUAUAAUUCUGGUGAAGAAUCAGCUCCAUAACGAAGGUCAACAACAACUCGGAGGGCAAAUGUUAGAUAUGCUAAUGCAGCAAUAAUCGAAGAAAUAGAACCUGAGACGUUCGAAGAAGCAUCACAAAAAUCAAAAUGGAUAACAUCUAUGAAAGAUGAGAUCAAUUCCCUUCAAGAGAAUCAAACUUGGGAAUUAGUGUCAAAGCCACACGAUGUGAAACCUAUAUUCUGCAAAUAGGUUAACAAAAUAAAGCGCCGUCCAGAUGGGUCGGUUGAGAGACAUAAGGCUCGACUAGUAGCUUGUGGCUUCUCUCAGCAGUACGGACUAGACUACGAUGAAACGUUUAGUCCGGUGGCAAAACUCACAACUGUAAGAGUCUUGCUUGCAUUGGCGGCUAACAAAAAUUGGAAGUUGUGGCAAAUGGAUGUGAAGAAUCCCUUUUUAAAUGGAGAGUUGGACCGAGUGAUUUACAUGAAUCAACCAAGUGGUUUCGAAAGUGUAACUCAUCCUAAUUUUGUUUGCAAACUCAGAAAAGCGCUUUACGGAUUAAAGUAGGCACCAUGUGCGUGGUACGGGAAGAUAGAUGAGUUUUUAAGCCUACGUGGUUAUGUGAUGACACAGUCAGAUUCUAGUUUAUUUGUUAAAAUAAGAGAAGGGAAGUUGGCAGUGUUGUUGGUAUACGUAGAUGAUUUAAUCAUUACAGGAGAUGACAUCAAAGAAAUUUUUCAAAUAAAGAAAAAUUUAUCAGUCCAUUUUCAGAUGAAAAAACUAGGAGAGCUCAAGCACUUCUUGAGAUUAGAGGUUGAUCAUACUGAAAAUGGGUUGUUUCUUUGUCAACAAAAGUAUGCUACAGACUUACUAAAAAGGUUUGGCAUGCUUGAAUGUAAGCCAAUAUCAACACCCAUGGAACCAAAUGCGAAAUUAUGUGCUAAUGAAGGAAAAGAUUUGCAAGAUUCAUCAAUGUAUCGACAAAUAGUAGGUAGUCUAAUCUACUUGACUAUAACCCGACCUGAUAUAUCAUAUUCAGUUGGUGUGAUAAGUCGAUACAUGCAAAAUCGAAUGAAGUCUCACUUAGAAGCUGUUCGAAGAGUACUCAGAUAUAUAAAAGGUACUGUAAGUUAUGGUCUGAUGUACAGGAAGGGUGAAGAUUGUAGUGUGCUUGGAUAUUGUGAUGCUGACUACGCAGGAGAUCAUGAUACUUGUAGGUCAACUACAGGGUAUAUGUUUAUGCUUGAAUCUAGGGCAGUUUCUUGGUGUAGUAAGAGACAACCAACAGUGUCUCUGUCAACAACAGAUGCCGAAUAUCGGGCAGCUGCAAUGGCAUCUCAAGAGAGCACAUGGCUGAUCCAACUAAUGCAAGAUUUGCAUCAGCCAGUAGACGCGGAAAUUCCACUCCUUUGUGAUAAUCAAUCAGCAAUUCGUUUGGCUGAAAAUCCAAUGUUUCAUGCAAGGACAAAAACAUGUUAAAGUACAUUAUCAUUUUCUUCGAGAAGAAGUUUUGCAAGGAGAGAUUGCAAUGAGACAUAUUGCGACACGUGAACAAGUUGCAGAUAUGUUUACCAAAAGCUUAAGUCCAGGAAAGUAUGAGAAGUUUCGCUGCCAACUGGGAGUUGUUCAGAGAAUGGGAACUAAAACAUUGAUGGAGAGUGUUAAAGUCAAUACUAGUCCCAAGUAACCCAAAAGUCUAAGUUACAGCUACCAAUUUUUUGUUUUUUAGUUAUGUAGUCCAGCAGUAUAAUAAAGGCAACUACUAGUUUCUGGUCGGAUAGUUUCUGAUUGAAUUAGUAUAUGAUUAUACAAUUCAAUGGCUUAGAUUAUGUCUGGUAUAUAUAUUGUAAGGUGUAGAUGAUUUGCUGGAACCUAUAAAUAUCCUUUGUAUCUGAGUUUAUUAAUAUAACAAGUAACAGUUUGUUUCUUAAGUCUAGAGAGAAAAGAUCAGUUCAUACUUGUUAGUGUAACUAGUGCGUUCUUAUUCUAAAGAGAGAAGAGUGAAUGCAGAGAGUGUUUUCUACAGAAUAUACCUGUGUUGUGUUAGUGUACUGAAGCUCAGUUUCAAGCUUUAAUGGCGUUUAUAACAACUUAAGAGUGAUAGAAUCUAAACAAGCCAUUUUAUGAGCAUGAUUAUCUCCCAAGACAGUCCGCAGUUGUGAUUUAGCACGCAACACAAAGAGAUGCAAUAACAAUAUGACUAGUGAGUGAGACUUGAGAUUUAGACCUGCAAUAUCACUUUAUACCCAAAGUUGAGACUCAUGUCUAACACUAAAAUUUUCUGUAAACAUAUUAAUUAUUUUGAUAUAGGGGUUAUUAGAUUUUAAUAUUGGUCCCUACUUGAUACCCAAAUAUCUUAUGAAUUACUCCCUCAAUCUCAUAUUAUGUGUCCAAUUUUGACUAUUAGAUGAUCAAUUUAACUAAACUUUGACCAUUAACUAAACAAAAUUUAUUAAUUAUUUUAAAAUUUUAAAAAUUGGAUUUUGAAGGGGAUUAGAUAUAUUUUUUAAUAAAGUAAGUUUUCAAUCUUUUGAAGUCGGAUAAUAUCUGUAAUUUGUGUUCAAAGUAUAGUCAAUUUGACUCUUCAAUAGUCAAAACAAAACACAUAAUAUGAGAUGGAGGGAGUAAAAAAAUUUAUCACCUUAGAGAAUAUUAAUUUAUAGGAUUUCACUAUAUUAGAUGUUGAAUUUCUUAUUUUAGUUAUUACUCCCGAUGUCCAAGAGAGUCGCUUUAACUCUUUACACGUAAUAUGAGAUGUAAGAAGACAUAUUUUUCAUAUUAUUUUUCAAAAAAAUUUUUUGUGAAUAAAAAUAUAGAUGUUAAAUUUUUAUUUAGAAAAUGAAACUUUGAAAAAUAAUAUAUAGAUAUAUGAUGUGUUUUUUACACCUAUGGGAUCGAUGGAAUAUUUAGUAAGCAAGUAGGGUUAAUAAUCGUCGUCGAAGGUGGUGCAAACAAUUAUGAAUGCCGAGUCAUUUUGUAUUUGUUUAGUAAUUUAUGGUAGAAGUCCACGGGCUAAGGGGUUGUUAAACUUUAAUUUUACAUGCUCAUCUUUUAGUAUACAACUAGUGAAAAAAGCCGCGCUUCACGGCGGCGUGAUAAAUUUUGAUAUGAAUCCGUAUUAUAAUAUUAUAAAUAUUAUUUUGAGUCAUCUUCCCGUUAAACAUAUCACAAAUAAAAAAUGUUAUAAUUGACGUAAAAAUUUGUUUAAGUGGUCAUCCUAUCAAACAUAAUACUAAUAAUAAAAUUAGUUCGAACCCCCUUCCGUCAAAGACAAUAUUAAUCCAUAAUUAUUAUUUAUAUGAUAAAAUUAAAUAUUAUAAUUUAGAUCGAAAUUAGUUUGAGCUUCUCUCUUAUCAAACACAAUACUAAUAACAAAACUUUAUAAUUUAAAUAUUAGUUAGAGUCUCUUUACUGUCAAACACAAUACUAAUAAAAAUUAUUCUAAUUAUAAUAAAAUUAAAGAUUAUAAUUGGAUAAAAAAUAUUUUGAACUGUGACAAAAAAAAUAUUAUAACAUAGAUAAAAAAUUAUUUUAGCCACUUUCCCGUCAAAAAUAAUACUCUUAGAAAAAAUUAUUAUUAUUUAGAUAAAAAUUAGUAUGGGCCGCCUCCCGUGCCCGUCAAAUACAAUACUAAUCGAGAAUCAUUUUACAUUAUCAUAAAAUCAAUAUAUGAUUCCUAUUUUUUAUAUCCUAUUUUUCUUUAUUUGUUAUUUUUAUUUUAUGAUUUCUAUUUAUUUGUUAAAAAUAUUAUUCGUUUAUGGUUCUUUUUUUUUUUUGCUAUUAGUUUUUUUUAUGAUUAUUAUCUUUAUAAUCUUUUAUUUCUAUUCAGAAAUUUAAGAAAAUCCGCGAUCUGAGGGGAAAUUGAAAGAGAUAAUUAAUGAAAAUGAUGAAAUUAGACGCAUGGAGGUUGUUAAUUACAUGUUCGUACCUCGCUUCGACAUCUUGAUCGAUCCGUUAUCUCUCUCGGGAUCUCUCCCUGAGGCGCCGUUGAUGAGGGGAGGAGGGGUUUAUAUGGAGAUCGGGCUUGUGUAGGUUUUAAGUGAAUAUUACUUCGUCAAUAAAACGACAUCGUCAGGUUCACUUUCUUGGGAGGGAAUUUGGUCGCCGCCGGUGCUCAAUAAAUAAAUUAAAUUAUAAAUUUUUUUAUUUGAAAUUUAAGAAAAUUAUUAGAAUAAAUCGGAAAUAUAAAUAGUAUUUAUUCUAUGAUUGUUAGUUUGAAUAAAUAUAAUCCUAUUAAUUCCUUUUGGGAUACGUAAAUAAGAAAAAAACUGAAUUAUAAAUAAAUAUUCGAUAGAGAUGAGAAGAUUGCAAUCACUACUUUUUGAAAAAAAAUUACAAAAAAAAUUAUAAAUUUAUAACUUUUGAGAAUAAGAAUCGUACUCUUUUUAAUAAUUUUUAUAUUAAUAUAUAAUUAACAAUAAGAAUUGUAUUACCCUUAUGAUUCCUGAAUUGGAAAAAGAAUUGUAUUACAUUUGGAACUCAAUAAGAAAAGAAUUGUAUGACCUUUAGAAUUCUUAAACAUGAUUUUUUGAAUUAUAACUAUAUUUUUCUCCGAAAUUUAAGAAAAAUCAGAAGACUGAAUCGAGCUAUUUUAGAGACGCCCGCAUUCUCCUUUAUAUACUUUAGAAUUCAAUACGAAAUACUAAAUAAGAAAAGAAUUGUAUCAUCUUUAGAAUUCAAUAUGAAAAGAAUUGUAUUACUUUUAGAAUUCUUGAACAUGAUUUUUUGAAUUAUAAUUAUAGUUUCUAUCCGAAAUUUAAGAAAAAUUAGAAGACUGAAUCGAGCAAUUCUAGAGACGCCUGCAUCCUCCUUUAUAUAUAUAUAUUGAUGAUCGUCAUUCAUUUGAAAAUUAUAUAAUAAAUUAAUAUUUAUAUACACAAGUAGGCUAGUAGUACUUGUAUUAAUCUGCUGGCUCCAUCAGUUCAGCUAUCAUUUUCUUAAUUGUACGUCAAAGGGGAAUAACAGUUAACAAUUAUAGAGAAUCUGAUGUGCAAAUACGCAAGUCACUUCAUCAUUAUUUAGUACUUAGUUGUACAACUAUGAGCUGAUUAGGGCUGUUCACGAACCGAGCCGAGCCGAGUUUUGACCGAGUCGAGCCGAGCUUUAAAUUUUUUCUUAUCGAACCGAGCCCACCCGAGCUUUCUUAUCGAACAAAAAAGUGUGUUCGAGCUCGAGCUCGAUAACUAACGAGCCGAACACGAGGUUGUUCACGAACAAAUACGAGCCGAGUCGAGCCGAGCCGAGUCGAGCUAGAGAAAAAUAAGGCCAAACCGCUACUUUACUCUUAAAAUAGCAAGCCAAAUAAAAUUUUUAGUAUGUUUUGAUGGUACCAUAUUAUAGUUGAUAUUCUCAUGAUCGAUUUGAUAUAUUAUAUGUUGAAUUCGGCGUUCAAUAACAUAUAUAUAUUACGAAAUUAUUAUGAAAAUAUUCUUUUUUUUCGAGCUUUAACGAGCCGAGCUCGAGCCGAACAUACUAAAAGCUCGGCUUGAGCUCGUUUUCUUAACGAACAAUUUUUUGUGUUCGAGCUCGAGCUCGUUAACUUAACGAGCCGAGCCGAACGAGCUCUUAACAAGCCGAGCUCGAGCUUGUUCGCGAACAGCUCGGUUCGUUAAACAGCUCUAGAGCUGAUCGGUUGUUGAACUUUGUUUUCACAUGCUCCUAAAUUAACAUAUAAUGAUUGUCAUUGUUUAGUAAUCUGCAGGCUUCAUGCAGCUCAACUCCUUUAUGAAGAGUUGUUUGCUUUCUGCAGAAGAGUAACAAAUUUCAAUGGCUGAAGCAAUUGUGUCUAUUGUUGUGGGAAGGCUCACUGAUUUGUUGAUUGAAAAAGCUCAUAUCCUUCAUGAAGUGAGAGAUGAAAUUGAAGUCGCCGUAGCUGGGCUCAUGCGGAUGAAAACAUUCUUACCAGAUGCUGAUUCAAGGAUCGAUGUAGAAAGAAUCCGGAUUUUGCUCCGCGAUGUACGAGAGCUUGCCUAUGAUGCUGAACAUGCUGUCGAAAGUUUUGUUAUCAAAGCCUCAUCUACUAAAAAAUCAUUUCAGUGGAUGAACAGAGGCAUGUUUUCAAGAAAGAUAAAAAAUAUACAAAAAAAGAUGUCCAUCUUCUUCGAUUUAUUUUCUGAUUAUAAUAUCAGACCAACUUCUGAAUCAUCAACUUCCUCCAACAGAGAAUCGGGAAAACUAAAGCGAUUUCACUCUUUCACUACUCCUGAACCAGAGAUAUUUGUUGGAUAUCAUAAAGACGUUGAACGCUUGGUGCGACGUUUGGUGAAUGAAGCUGAUGAUUCUUACCCACUUAUAUCUAUUUGUGGAAUGGGGGGUCUGGGAAAGACCACUCUCGCUCAAAAGAUAUACAAUCACUCUGCCAUCAAGACUCACUUUGCUGGUUUAGCAUGGGUAACAAUCUCGCAAAAGUGGCAAACAGAUCGUGUGUUGCAAAGAAUUCUCAUAUGUCUCGUCCCUGAGAACAAAGAGUCUAUCCUUAAUAUGGACACUGACAAGCUAGUGGAGUAUAUGCUACAAAUCCAGGAAAGGAAGAAAUGUUUGAUAGUUCUCGAUGAUAUAUGGUCACCUCAUGCUUGGGAUGCAUUAAAAGCUGCAUUUCCAGCCGGGAAGUCCAUGAGCAAAUUAAUGCUUACAAGCCGUAAUGCUGAGGUUGCUGAGCAUGUAAAUUUAAACGGAUUCAUUCACAAACCAAAAAUUUUAAGUCCGGAACAAAGUUGGGAGCUACUCAAGUUGAAAGCACUUCACACAGGAAACUAUCUAGGUUCAUAUACUUCUUUUGAUCAUAUACUGUUUUUUACCAUAUGUUUUGUCCGGGAACCUUAACCAACCAUAUUUUUUGUUACUUGAGUUCGAUAAGUUUGGUUAGAGAUCUGUCCAAAAAUCUUAAAGAACAUUGUUCUCUCAAACAUUUUGUUCGUGUUCGUUUGAAUUCGGCUCGUUUACAAAUCUAUGUAUAAGAAUUGUAAACGAAUCUAACGGUUCAUUAAGCGUGCUCUUGAGGUUGAGUUAGCAAACUCGAGUUCAAACCAAAUAUUUUAAACAUAUUAGUUAAACGACUAAAUUAUAAAUUAUCUUGGCUUGUCUGUGUGGGUCUAUAUAUAUACACACACAUAUGAUUCAUGUUUCUUGUGUGCUGCAGACAUUACCAGAGAUGUAAAAAGGAUGGAAGAACUGGGAAGGGAAAUGGUUGAACAUUGUGCCGGUCUUCCGCUAGCUAUAGUCAUUUUGGGUGGAAUUUUGGUAACAAAACCGUCGUUGAUAGAGUGGGAGAAGGUAUAUCGUGAUAGUAAAUCAUCCCUAAAGGCGGGGAAAGGACUGGGAGAAGCCUAUCAAAGGGGAAUAGUAAGUGUUUUAGUUUGGAGUUACAAUGAUUUACCCCCUCAGCUGAAGCCAUGCUUUAUGUAUUUAUCUAAGUUUGGUGAAGAUAAAUGGAUAGAAUCACAGACUUUGUAUCAGCUAUGGAUCGCUGAAGGAAUGGUACUCUCGAGUGACAAAAGAGAAGGAGAAACAAUGAUUCAAGUUGCCGAAUCAUACAUGGGAGAACUAGUCCACAGGAGUAUGGUUCAAGUAAGAUUUAACAACGUGGAAUCAUCUCUUACAAAGUUUGAAGAUUUUUCUCUGCACGACCUUAUGAGAGACAUGUCUUUAAUACAAGCAAAAGCAGAAGAUUUUAUUGAAGAUAUACAUUUCCAAAGUGGAAAUGAGCUUCAUCUCAAAUCUACUGCAGAUUCAAGGUCAGCUUCCACUCGACUUGUGAUUCAUUUGGAUGAGGAAUAUUCUAGCAAAAAAGCUAAUUACUACUUUUCUAAGAAAGGCAAUGAAAAAUGCUAUCGAUCAAUGUUAUUCUUUGGUGACUUUGGUCCGAGAAGUCUGCCACGGGCAUUAAUGGGGUCACAAGUUGCCAAUUUUAGGUUCCUAAAAGUGCUUUCUGUGGAGAAUUAUACCAAUUUUUCUGGUGUGUUUUAUCAUAUUAAUUUUGGAAGAGCAUUAGGGUCCCUUGUUUACUUGCGAUAUCUUAGUGUAAGAGGCAGUAAUUUGUUGGUUCUUCCAUCCGUACAAAGGUUGGUGCUGUUACAAACUCUUAAAUUAAAUACCCAUGAGGGUAUAUAUGUUUUACCAUGGUUGUCAAGAGAUGUUCUGGUGAAGCUGGAUUGUUUGCGGCAUCUGUUUUUGCCUAAAUUUAAAGUUGACGUUUUGAGAAGGAAAUCGAAAUUUCGGUUGAAUGGGUUGUGCAAGUUAGAGACACUGGAGAACUUUGACACAGCUUGGUGCGAGGUUAAUGAUCUACGUGAACUAAUCAAUCUUCGGAAACUAAGGCUAACAGUGGCAGGUAGCUGUGAUAUUCUGGAAGAAGUGAUGAAAAACUUGGGUGAUAUAGCCUCCUCACCAUCUUCAUGUUUGAGGUACUUGGGUGUUUGUAUUGCUUAUUGUGAUAUCGAGCUGAACAAUGGUCUUACUAUCUUGAAACAAUUGGUAUAUGGUGAAAAUUUGAAUCUUAGAGAAUUGAAAAUAUAUGGUCGUAUCCAAGAGGUGGGUCUAAUAUUUCCGCUGCAUGUAUCUACAUCAAUUUGUAUUACAAGAUUAGAUUUAUCGAGAUCAAACCUGGAAGAAGACCCAAUGCCAAUACUGGAAAUGCUGCCAAUGUUGGGUUUUCUCUAUAUGUUUACGAAUACAUUUAUGGGGAAGGAGAUGGUGUGCUCCGCAACCGGUUUUCCUAAACUGACCGAUCUUUAUUUGGACAGCUUCCCUAACCUUGAAAAAUGGAGGGUGGAGAAAGGAAGCAUGCCCAUUCUUUCAUGGUUGCUUAUUCAAAGAUGUAACAAUUUGGAGGAACUUCCACAAGGCCUGGUGUUCAUCAAGUCCCUUCAACUGCUACAAAUAAUCAAAAUGCCUCAAGAUUUCAAUGAUAGGCUUAUAAGAGAUGAUGGUGAAGAGGGACCCGAUUUUCACAAAAUUUCUCAUGUCCGUAGACUCAAUAUCGACGGUCAGGAAUACAAUUGAAUGUUCUUGUGUAAGUUUGUUAGUCAUAGAACUUUUUGUUUUGGUCCGGGAGAACAUAUUGCUUCAUAAGCAAAUGACCAAAAAAGUCUUGUCCAUAUUUUAAAAAGUUAAUAAAACUUUUAACUUUUUCAUUUUAAAUCAGUAAUUUAAUAUGAUUGAUUUAUUUUUAUCAAAAUUAAUACUUUAACUAUUGUUAAAUAAUUAAUAUAUGAAUUCAAGUGAAAUUAUAUUUUAUUUAGUAAUCAAUUUUAUAAACUAGUAUGCUAAUCUAAUUAUAACAGAGAAUCGGGAAAGCUAAAGCGAUUUCCUAAAAGUUGCCAAUUUUAGUUUCCUAAAAGUGUUUUCUGUGGAGAAUUACAGAAAUUUUUCUGGUGCGUUUUCUCUUAUUAAUUUUGGAAGAGCAUUAGGGGCCCUUGUUUACUUGCGAUAUCUCAGUGUAAGAGAGACUAAUUUGUUGGUUUUUCCAUUUCUAAGAAAGUUGGUGCUGCUGCAAACUCUUAAAUUGGAUAUUUUCAACGUGAACUAUGUUUUACCAUGGCUGUCAAGAGAUGUUCUGGUGAAGCUGGAUUGUUUGAGGCAUCUGUAUCUGCCUAAAUUUAAAGUUUACGUUUUGGGAUGGAAAUCGAAAUUUCGGUUUUAUGGGUUGAGCAAGUUAGAGACCCUGGAGAACUUUGAGACUACUUGGUGUGAGGCUAAGGAUCUACGUGAACUAAUCAAUCUAAGGAAACUAACGCUAACAGUGAGAGAUAGCUUUGAUAUUCUGGAAGUAGUGAUGAAAAACUUGGCUGAUCUGGCCUCCUCGCCAUCUUCAUGUCUGAGGUACUUGGGUGUCACUAUUAUUAAUUGUGGAAUCAUGCUGAACAAUGGUCUUACUAUCUUAAAACAAUUGGUACAUGCUGAAAAUUUGAACCUUCGGGAUUUGAAAAUAUAUGGGCGUAUCCCAGAGUUGGGUCUAAUAUUUCCGCUUCAAUAUGUAUCUACAAUUGGUAUUACAAGUUUAACUUUAGCGAGUUCAUGCCUGGAAGAAGACCCAAUGCCAAUACUGGAAAUGCUUCCAAUGUUGGGUGUUCUCCACAUGUUUGGGAGGAAUCCAUAUGUGGGGAAGGAGAUGGUGUGCUCCGCAACCGGUUUUCCUAAACUCACCGUUCUUUAUUUCGUCGGCUUGCCUAACCUUGAAAAAUGGAGGGUGGAGAAAGGAAGCAUGCCCAUGCUUUCAUAUUUGUGUAUUGGAAAAUGUAAGAAAUUGGAGGAGCUUCCACAAGGUCUGAUGUUCCUCAGUUCUCUUGUAGGAAUAUUCCUACAACAAAUGCCUCAAGAUUUCAAUUAUAGGAUCACAAGAGAGGAUGGCGGGGAAGGACCCGACUUUCACAAAAUUUCUCACGUCCCUAGAGUUAGUAUCAACAAUCAAAAUUAUGAUUCUAUGUUUUCCGUAUUCAUGUAAGGUUUUUUCGAUAUUAUGAAAAUCAGUUUUUUGUUUCCCAUACUUGUUAAGUUAUAAUUUACUUUUUAUUAAAACUAGCUUAUAACCCGUGCAGCGGUUAUAAUAUUUGUUAUUUUAUCAUAUAUAGUUUUAAUUUAAUUAAUUUUAUUGUAAAAAUAAAAUUAUGAUAGAAUAAUGUGGUUAAAUAAAUUUUUAUUUAACAGCUGAUAAAUUCUUAAUACGCUAGCGGUUAUAAUAUUUGUUAUUUUAUCAUAUAUAGUUUUAAUUUAAUUAAUUUUAUCGUAAAAAUAAAAUUAUGAUAGAAUAAUGUGGUUAAAUAAAUUAUUAUUUAACAGCUGAAUAAAUUCUUAAUACUUAAGUCCGUCAAAUGACUAAUUAAAAAUUAGGUCAAACAUAUAUUUUGAUGAGAAUGUUAAAUAUAUUUAUUUACAUGUUAUAAUUUAAGGAGAUCUAUAAACCCAUAUAUAAAUCAACCAAUCAACCUCAUAAUAUUUCGUUAGUAAUAAUUAAUAAUAUAGUAUAAAACAUAUUAUAAGUCAAAGAGACGCGUAAUCCCAAAUAUCGAUCCAUUACCUAAUUUUUAAUGUUUUGAUUCGAUAGAUAAUAAAAAAAUAUUAUAACAUAUUAUAAAUUAAUGAGGUCUGUGGGUUGAAUACCAACAGUCUCACCAAACUCGAUUGAUCGACCGACCAACUAACCAAUUGAACUUUUUAUUUUUCGGCUUUCGACUUUAACAGUAUAAUAAUAUAUAGUAUAGUAUAAAUUUAUAAUAUCACUUUUAAUGUGAGACCGUUAGAAUAUUUAAAAAUAAUGUUAAUUAAUUUCGGUUGAAAAAUAUCACCUGUUAUUUAUUAAUAAAUAUAUAUAAUAAUAUUAUGUUUUUAUACAUAUGUCGCUUGUGUUAAUUGUAGAAAAACGAUUUUUUAGUUAGAAAAAAAUAUUUAUCCUGAACUCUAAAUCUUUAAAAUUAAAAAAAAAACAUUUUUUUCAACGGAGAAGUUGUGUUUAGUUUCAAAUUGCAAAAAUACUUUCUUAAAAAUUUUAAAAAGAUUGUAUAUUAUCGAAAAAGAACUCUAAACAUGUGUUAUAUCCUUAAAUUCUAUACUCUCUGGCGCAGAAAAAUAAAUUAUAUUCGAAACAGAUUAUUAAUUUCAACUUAAAGUAGAGAGGUGUUUCGGUGAAGACCCCCGCUUAGUGCACAAUAAAAUAAAUAUACAGUUUGUGAUAUAAUAAGAAUAUAAUAUCUUAGCCAUGUCCUUCUUCACACAGGACUUACCUAAAUAGUUCCUAAUGCAUCUGUGAACUGAGGACUUACCUAAACAGUUCCUAUUAUCACGAAUGCAUCCAUGAACUGAGCUAAUCCUUCAAAACAUAAUGCAACGAACCUCGUAAUCUCUGUAAGCAACGAGACCUAGUCUCAAUUAUUCUAAUAAGUCGUCCCCAAUCAUUCUUAUCUAAUGUCAUAUCACCCGUCCCCAAUCAUUCUUAUCUAAUAUUAUAUCACCCGUGAGAUUCAAAGCUCUCAUGUCCAAACUUAAUUGAUUAGCCCAUGUCCGACGAGGCUGACUUCUCUUUCUCUAGUCAUUCAUUAUUCUUGAGGUGAACAACAGUUAAAAAAAUUCAGAGCCGAGGUAUUCUUACACAGCAAAAUAUCGAUUUAUGAUAAUGUUGGACAGCAGAAAAUGAAAAGGAAGUAAUAUUUCACUAACCAUAUGUGAUAUCCAAUCCCAACAUUGAAAAUUGCUCACUCGAGAGAGACUAUUUUAGUAUCUCAUUCAUUAUUCUCGAAAUGGACAAGUGUUAAAGGAAUCCCGGAGCCACAAAUAUAACAGCAUAACGACAGAAUAUUAAUUUAUGAUAGUACUGGACAGCAGAAAAUCGGAGGAAGUAAUUUUUCACUAGCCAAUAUGUGAUAUAUUUUCAUGCUGCCAACACAACAGAGUACAUUGUUGCCCUCAGGUUGCAACAAAACACAAAACUAGGACACUUCUAACCCUCGACUCCACCCAUUGUUCAAACUUUUUCUUUGUAAUAUUUCUCUUUAUAAUAGAACACUUCUGGUUUUUCUUUUCUUUAUAGUUAAACUACAAUAUAUACAGCGGUUAGGACUGGGAAACUGCUUUCUUCAAGACGCUGAAGGCAACGAGCAUAAGCAGUGAUAUCAUAAUCUUCUUUGAAGCAAGAAUCCGCAAGUUCACCUUCAUGCCAUGGUCUCUCAUGAGCUUCACUGUUGCCCUAAUUACUGAAAUAAGCCAGAAUACAACGGACAAGAACACCACUUUCAUUGUGUCUGCAGGUCCGUUCACACUUCUUGUGCCUCCCGACACCUCGAUGUAGGACUGUUUUUACCAAAAUUUGCGGGUUAAAAGCCAAGCCUAUUUAAUUUCUAUAACAAUGGAGUAUGUGUUUUUAUGUAUGAAUAUUUAGUAGAUCGUAUAGAUAAAUAUCGAAAAGAAAAUCAAAGGCAAGAACACAAACAAUUUUGGUGACGCGGAAAACCCCUUGUAAAAGGUUAAAAACCGCGGGUGGGAAUGUCCCAGCCAAAUAUCCACUAUAAUGAUGUAACAUCAGCUUACAAGUAUGAGAAAUACAUGAUACAAGUACAUAAAUACACAGACGUCGGCUUCAGAAGUAGUUCAUGUCCGUCAGCAAUAUGCACCCGUUGGCAGCAGGUUAACCUUGACGUUGCACCCGUCGGCAGAAUGAUUUCGGGGAGAUGAAGAUGUAGAGCUCCCUUGAUAGAAGAUGAAGAAGCUUAGCUAUCAUAUGUUAAUGUAUGUAUAUGUACGUGUACUGAUUUGUAUGAUCUUAAGCUUGGUUGAUGCUUUAUGAGUGAUAUGGGGUAGAAGAUGAAGUUGUGGGCAUGUAGAAGUGUGUAGAUGAUAUGUAUCAGUUAUGUACCUCUCUUUUUCAUGAGUAUUUAUACCCCCUCAACACUUAUGCACGUUCCUAGGUUGUUUCUCCACGUUCUCCACUUACUCCUAUAGUUUAGGGAUAAAGAAUAACCUCCUCCUAACUCUUAGGAUCGUUACAAGACUUAUUCUUCAUGCUGUUACGUUCAUGUCGAGUACCUUCACGUCAUGUCGAGUAUCUUCACGUCAUGUCUUAGCCAAGACGUCGAGCAUCAGCUUUGUGUGUAGCUUAAAUAUAUCUUUGGAGAAUGAUUAAUUAGCUUGUAAUUUGAUGAUAUAAUCACUCCCCUAACUCCCAUCAAGAUGUGGCUAUAUUGUAGGAUUAUGAUAAGGUAGUUAUUAUCCUUAUCUCCUAUUUUCCCUCCAUGUGCAUGUUGAGUUUCCUAAAUUAGUGUCACUUAUCCAUUCUCCAAUUUGAAUAAUCUCCUAAAAAGGUGGGUAGUUGAGACUUAGUCUCUUGCCCUAUCAGCCUGCACACGUCGUGUCGUCGGUACUUCAUGUCGUGUCAGUACACUUCCCGUCAUGGCCUGACGCCUGUAAAAUCUGGGUACAAACAAUAGCCCCUAAUUUUAUUGGGUGGAGGCAUGCAGCCAAUGAAAUUACUUCUUGUACACUCCGUUUUCCUCAAACCAUGGCAAAUAAGAACACCGAUGCUAUGUUAAAAUACUAACGAUUGCAACAUGUGAUCAUGUCAUGUCGAUUUGUCUUGUUCGCUAUUGUCUUGUAUCGAGUCUCUAUCUCGUUUUGUCGUUAUAAUGUUAUCUCGAGUUGUCAUCGUUGUCUAAAUGAUGAAAACAUCGACGAGUAGCUGCUUUGUUGUCGUCAGUUUCACGUUCUAAGAUGAGAACGCUUUGUAUUCGCUAUAUCGUAGUUACCUGUAGGCUUGGACACAAUUACAAUCAGUCCCGAAGUAUUAACAUGUCAAGUCGUGACGUCGCUUUGCGUCAUAUUCGUAAAGCCCCUUGUAGAUGUCUUCUGACAUGUGUAAGAUGUCGUAUAUAAUCUUAUCAUUGUUAGCUGCAUAUUCUCAGGUGUCCGUGACUUGAAAUUGGUUCAUGUGACCCCUUAAUUGGGAGUGAUUAUGACGUAAUGGAUAGGAGUACCAACACGUGAAGUGUUUUGUAGUAUGUCUUCCGUUCGUAAUAUAUAACUUGUAGACAUGAUGUGUAUCUCGUCAUCAUGACGUGAUAUGUAGAAAUCGUGCCACGUCAGACGUCAAUGCAAUCUGUCAUGACUCGUGUAAGUGAUGACAUGUAGAAAUGUGUAUUGUGAUUUAUGUGUCCGACCAAGGGUCGUGACUUGCGUGAUUUUGUGGAGUUUUCAUCGACAUGUAUGUUAAAUACGUCAAUGUAUUUUAACUUGUAAUAUCCGUAAUUGUAGUCGUUAAAUUUAUUUUUUAUAACGUUGGUGCACGUAGUAUAUGUAUUCGACAAAUAUAUAUAUAUUCAAUGAAUAUAUAAUUUUCAGACGUUGAUGCAUGUAGUAUAUGUAUUCGACAAAUAUUUAAUUUUCAAACGUUGAUGUAUUCGACAAAUAUGUUUAUUUUCAAACGUCGAUGCAUGCAUUCGUAGGCUAGUUAAAAGGCCUUUCCCUCUUGAAACUUAGCUCGUAAUUGUAAUUGUGAUUAUGUAAUGUUUAAAUACAUAAUAUUGAAAUGCGUCAUUAUUCGUGGCGUCGUAAGUUAUUUGUGUAAUGUGUAGUGUUGUCGUCACCAUCAUUCGAUAAUGAUCAACCGUAGUAGGAUAGGUGAUCAGCCCUCCUUGUCUAUUAAUAUGUAUCUAAAAUAUACUCAUGCAAUAUCAUGUCACAAUAAAUAUCAUGAUGAAGACGUCAACUUUAAGCAGUUAAACAUGGACAAUUUAGAAUAACUUGCAUAACGUAUUUCAACACACAUAUCUAUCAGGUAGAGUAGCAAGUCAUGUAAGAAACAAGCACAUGUGUCAUUAUGAUUAGAUCAUCAAUUAUUCAAGCAAACAUUCAUUGGAAGCAUGAAAUAUCAUUUAAAUAGCAUAAGCCCAAGUAAAGAUCGUAAUCAACUUAUUAUCAUAUUGCUAAAGACUAAGAGAAUAAAGAGGAUGAGUUCACUUACAUGUGAUAAAGUUCCAAAAGUAACAUGUUCGAGCCCCUGGGGACUUGUAGUUCGUAAUGUCUUGUUGAAUCAGGUUGAAGUCGUCGGACACUUCCAAAGGCGUCAAUGAUUCAUGUCCCGUCAUGAUGUUGAUUGUCAUGUCAGUUUACGGAUAUGUGCAUAAGUUGAUGAGGUUGUACCCCUUUCUGGGUAUAUGUCUUGUACCUCGUUCGCCUUGUCAUCAAGCUGACCUUAAUUAAGUUUUUUGGACUUGUCGAUAGUCCAUUUUUGAUUCUUUCUUCUAGUUUAUCUUUCGUGGUCAUGUCAUGUCUUUUUACUUCACAUCAUGUUGAACCAGUGAUGUCGAUACCCUUGUGGCGAUUUUAGGACAAGUCCCAAUCAUCUCCUGUUGAGAUAGUAGAUUUGGACUGAAAUCAGCCACAAAAUUAGCAAAAUAUGUGACUCGAUCGUUGUUUGUGACUCAUAGGUGAUAAUGUAUUCGACAUGAUCUGUCAUGUUUCUAAAGUUCAUGUCUAGCUGUCACGUCGAUCAUCAUGUCAAGACUUCAUGUCCAACUGUCACGUUGUUAUUUUUACACUGUCACCAUGUUUGCUAGUCAUUCUGGACACUCGACUUCAUGUAUGAUGUCCCUUUUGAUUUAGUUGUUUGCUUUUCGUGUGAUUAUCAUAAUGCUGUUUGAUUUCCAUUUGACAUGUAUGCGGUUUGAGUUGUCAUCAUUUAACUUGUGUAUGUUCAUGUCGAGGCUGCUACCCAUCGUCUCGUCGUGAUCCCAAGCGAAGGUGUUCAUUCUUUCUGUCAAAAAAUCAAUUAUGUCGGUCUCUCUCUUUGGUGUCACGUCAUGUCCUCUUGUGGUGUUGUUUUUUGUCGUUUAGAUGUCAUCCAUGUCUUGUUGGUCGUGUUGUGUCACGUGUGAUUUACUAGUUCCCGUCAGACGUGAUGAGAUUAGUGUAACUUGUUCAUGUCAAUCUAGUCGUACAUGUCAUGGUCGUUUGUGGUCACUUCAAUUCAACCAACCCGUCGGACAGCCCCAUGUUUGUAACCAGAAAUCUUCUCGCCAUGUCAACCAAAGUGAUGUGAUAUAGAAAAUCAGUGUAUCCAUGACGCCUAUCUCUUGUAGCCCCUUUUGAACCGAUUAAUAUGCGCGUCGACGUGAACUCCAUUGCCAUAGAAAUCAUGUAAGUGCUUCGCUAGUUUCCCACAGACGGCGCCAAUUGUUUUUACCAAAAUUUGCGGGUUAAAAGCCAAGCCUAUUUAAUUUCUAUAACAAUGGAGUAUGUGUUUUUAUGUAUGAAUAUUUAGUAGAUCGUAUAGAUAAAUAUCGAAAAGAAAAUCAAAGGCAAGAACACAAACAAUUUUGGUGACGCGGAAAACCCCUUGUAAAAGGUUAAAAACCGCGGGUGGGAAUGUCCCAGCCAAAUAUCCACUAUAAUGAUGUAACAUCAGCUUACAAGUAUGAGAAAUACAUGAUACAAGUACAUAAAUACGCAGACGUCGGCUUCAGAAGUAGUUCAUGUCCGUCAGCAAUAUGCACCCGUCGGCAGCAGGUUAACCUUGACGUUGCACCCGUCGGCAGAAUGAUUUCGGGGAGAUGAAGAUGUAGAGCUCCCUUGAUAGAAGAUGAAGAAGCUUAGCUAUCAUAUGUUAAUGUAUGUAUAUGUACGUGUACUGAUUUGUAUGAUCUUAAGCUUGGUUGAUGCUUUAUGAGUGAUAUGGGGUAGAAGAUGAAGUUGUGGGCAUGUAGAAGUGUGUAGAUGAUAUGUAUCAGUUAUGUACCUCUCUUUUUCAUGAGUAUUUAUACCCCCUCAACACUUAUGCACGUUCCUAGGUUGUUUCUCCACGUUCUCCACUUACUCCUAUAGUUUAGGGAUAAAGAAUAACCUCCUCCUAACUCUUAGGAUCGUUACAAGACUUAUUCUUCAUGCUGUUACGUUCAUGUCGAGUACCUUCACGUCAUGUCGAGUAUCUUCACGUCAUGUCUUAGCCAAGACGUCGAGCAUCAGCUUUGUGUGUAGCUUAAAUAUAUCUUUGGAGAAUGAUUAAUUAGCUUGUAAUUUGAUGAUAUAAUCACUCCCCUAACUCCCAUCAAGAUGUGGCUAUAUUGUAGGAUUAUGAUAAGGUAGUUAUUAUCCUUAUCUCCUAUUUUCCCUCCAUGUGCAUGUUGAGUUUCCUAAAUUAGUGUCACUUAUCCAUUCUCCAAUUUGAAUAAUCUCCUAAAAAGGUGGGUAGUUGAGACUUAGUCUCUUGCCCUAUCAGCCUGCACACGUCGUGUCGUCGGUACUUCAUGUCGUGUCAGUACACUUCCCGUCAUGUCCUGACGCCUGUAAAAUCUGGGUACAAACAAGGACCAAGCAGCGCCUUGAUUAUCGGUAGUUCCACUAUGAUUGAGGCCAAGUUUCUCGUUCAACCAACAUGAUAAAGUCACAAGCAGCUUUGCAAGCCAUGCAAUCUCAUCAUUGGAGACUGGUCGCUUCAACCAGUCACCCCUGUAUUUUGUACCAGUUUGCUUCUUGUUUCACAACAUUCUAGGACUAAAUAUCUCAUCACGUGGAUGCUGAUUUUCUCUUGUCUCAGGGACAGCAUGCGUGUUCCUUGAAGUAGAGUUACCAAAUAAGCAACCCAUCUGGGCUUUGAUAGAAUCUAAACAAGCCAUAUUGUGAGCAUGAUUAUCUCCCAAGACAGUCUGCAGCUCCGACUCAGCACGCAACACAAAGAGCUGCAAUAACAAUAUAACUAGUGAGUGAGACUUGAAAUUAGAAUGACACAAAUCCAUUCCUAGAAUUUAUAUAGUUCAUACAUAUAUAUUUAAGUACACUAUAUGCUAAAACUGUUGGAAUAAUCUUAAAUUUAAUUAUUAUUAAUAUUUGUUUAGUUAUAUAUUUUGAGGAUUAGUUUUAGAUUGAAGUAGUUGGAUGUUUGUUGUAGAGGUACAAGAAUUAAUACAAAUCAGUUUUAUAUUCUACACUUGGCAUUGGAGCCAGGUUCCGCCGCCAGGCGGUGGUGAAGCCGCCGCUAGUGGUGAAGGCGCAUAGUGAGUGUUUGACGAGAUAGUUUCAGGUAGGCGUUGCAGAAGGAUUGUGGCAAAGCUGCAUCUGCAUGUGUAGUAUGGGAUGCAUGUAUAGUAUGAGGCUGCCAAGAAAGACGAGGCGAUGCCUACUGAAGGCGGAAAAUAAGAUAGAGUGGAAGAAGGUCAUGCAGAACGAGAUGGAUCUUGCGUUUUUUAUCACGGAGUUGAGGGAGAACCUCUCCUUCAAAAUUAUGGGUGAUUAUAUGUACCUGGAGAGAAUUUUAGAAUUAUGGGUGAUUAUGUGUAUCUGGAGAAAAGUGCUCCAGUGAAUUUGGCGUUGAUGAGAAGUGCAUCAACAAAUUGGUGUUGAUGAGAAGUGCAUCGACAAAUCGGUGGUAGUGAGAAGUGCAUCACAUAUAGAGGUGGCAAUCGUUUUGUUUCGUAUACUUUCGUGUUUCGUGUACUCAAAGGUGAACCCGUAUCCGCCCGUUAUCAAUUUCGUGUACCAAAUUUGAAACCCGUAUCCGAUCCGAAACGUUUCGUGUAUUUUUCAUGUACUUUUCGUGUACAUUAUAUAUAAAAUUUUUAAUAUAUUUUUAAUCAAAAAAUAGCUUUAAUAUAUAUUUUUCUAUAUAAUUUACUAAAUAUGAAUGAUAUAUUUAUGCUCGCAUACAAUUAUCUACAAAUUUGUUAAUGUAUCUAUAAUAUGUAUCUACAUAUACAUAUACAUAUAUAUUUAUUUAACACAGUUAUAUAUAUAUAUAUAAUAUAUUAUACCAUAUAUAUAAUGAAAUCUAUGUAUAAAUAUUUCGUGUACUUUCGUGUACCCAAAAUGAAAACCCAUAUCCGACACGAAAUCUAUCGUGUAAUUUCGUGUUCGUGUACUUUCGUGUUUCGUGUAUCAAAAAUCAAAACUCAUAUCCAUUUUUUUCGUGUCGUUUCAUUUCGUGUUAGCGUGUUACGUGUCAAAUUGCCAGGCCUAAUCACAUAUGAAGAGAAGUGCUUCAUAAACUCUCUUAAGUAAAUUUAAGAUUAUGGGGUGAUUGUUGGAAUAAUCUUAGAGGGGUGUAUUGGAUUGAGAUUUUAAAGCCUUUUUUUGCAUUCAUGAAAUCCGAGGGUAUUGGAUUGGGAUUGUUUGAAAUCAAUUAAAAUCUUGAGGUAUUCAAUUGGUAUUUUAAAUUAUACUACAAAAUCCGGUGGUAUUCAAUUGGGAAUUAAAAUUAUGCUUUAAAAUCCGAUGGUAUUCAAUUGGGAUUGUUUAAAAUCCAUUAAAAUCUGAGGGCAUUCAAAUGUUGAUGGAUUUUUUUGCAUUUCAUAAAAUGAUGGAUUUUGUGGCAUUCUUCAGUGUAUUUUAAGUUUUUUGAAAUCCCACCAAAAUCAAUGGGAUUUUGAAGCAUAUUUGUGCUUAAAUCCUAUAAACUCUGCGACAUAUUAUCAAAAAUCCGCACAAAAUCAAAAUCCAUUAAAAUCCAUAAACUAAAAACAAUCCAUUAAAAUCCCAAUCGAAUACAUCCCUAUUAAUUUACUUAUUAUUAUUAUUUGUUUAGUUAUAUAUUUUGAGUAUUAGUUAGAUUGAAGUAGUUGGAAGUUUGUUGGAGUCCUAGAGAAUUUGUAAGAGGUAUUGAGUCUAUUUGAGUCUAUCAUGUUUUAGGAGAUUUAUUAGAAGUAGUAGAGUAUUUAUGAAAUCUCUUUUUUAGAGGUACAAGAAUUAAUACAAAUCAAUUUUAUAUUCUUACAAAAAGAAGAGAGGUGGAAAUAAACCUAUAGCAGCCGUUGUCCGCCAUCAUCACCAUCACUAAAUAACUGCAAAUCUUUGUUCCAAUUCUCAUGCAAGAAAGAGCCAUCAGCGUCAUUUUCACACAAUCCAUCCUCCCAGUCCUUGUAAAGCAAAAAAGAACAAGGGAUUUACAUAUAAACCUCUGAAAAAGAGUUGAAGAAUGCGCACGCGCACACACACAAAAGAGAUGUUGAACACUUUUAGCCGAGUCCAUGUAAUAUAGAUUCCCCAUACGUAAGCUUACCAGAUGUAUCCCCAUGAGCAACCAUAAAUUAAAAGAAGCUCAAAGAAAAUAAUUAGCUUUUUGUUGUGGUUCAUUCAGAUGUAUCCAUCAAGCAUUUUCCAGGACCACUGAAGCAAUCUAUGCAAAACCAUGGUUGAACAUCACUAACUACACAAGUAGCCUUCCUCUUGUGUUCUGCUUAUCCAGGUAAAAAAGAAAAGACUACAUGUCUUUUUUUGCUAGCAUGUCUUAAAAUGUACUAUUAUAUAAUUUUCUUAGUUUUUUAAUAAUUUCACCCAUCUAUAAAAGUAUAAACAGAGGACAAGAACAUAUAUCACACCUUUUGUGCUUCUUUACACCUCAACAGAGAACCAAGCAGGGCCUUGAUUAUCGGUGGUUCCACUACGAUUCAGGCCAAGUUUCUCAUGAUAAAGUCAAGGAGCUUUGCUGCUUUGCAAGCCAUUCCAUCUCCUUAGCGGAGACCGGCCACUAUUGUCCGGGCAUGUGUGGGUGAACUUAAUUUGAAAUAUAAUCAUUUAUUUUGACAACAAUUUCACAUUCACAUACUAUUAAAUAAUAUUAAGUGUUUAGAGGACAUUUAGCAGAAAAUACACAUUUACAUACUUUCUCUUCCAGAUAUAAGUAAUUUAUUUCAAAAUACAAAAUAAGUUAAACGCCCAAGAUGUUUGAAUCAGUGAAUUACGCAAAUAUUUAAGAAUGAGAAAUCAUGGAGUAUGUUAUAAUACUCAAGUGCUUGUUACAUUCAACAUUUUACGGGAAAAAAGUAAAUUAAAUAUUUGCAAGAGAAUUAAUAGCAAAAAACGGAGCAAAUGUGUUCCAAAUUUUAAUUUUAAUAAAGCAAGUAAUGCUAUUGUAUUAGUUCUGGAAACAAAACGUAAUUUUCUCAUGAUGCAGACGCAGCAAACCGAUGAUUCCAAGUGUCUGUUAGCAGAAGGGGAGAGUGAAGAAGAAUAGAGAGUAUAAAGUCAUUUGGUUUGCUAUGAGGAGGUCAUUCAGGAAGCGGAACCAAGAGCGGUGAUGUUUGCAGAAACACAAGAGAAAGACUUCAAAUGGCAUCUUGAAAAGGAAUGAGAGCAGGCAAUUGCAGCAAACACAGCAACGACAACAAAAGUAAUCAAGGAAGAUGAGUAGGAUAGUCUUGUGAAACUGAGCUCCUGAAUUUCUGUUCUGCUUAGGAUUUUCGACAUAAUAAAGGUAUGAAUAGUAAUUACAAAAUUGAAAUAAUUGAACCAUAAUAUCAAACACAGAAGGGAAAAAAAUGGUUUUAAUAUGAACACUAAUCGGCUCAAUCAAUUUGAUUACUAAAUUGACUAAGUGCUGCUUUAAACGGGUGCCCAAGACAAUAGUGAUGAAAAAGAUUAAAGUCAAUAAUUAGUGACGAAAAAGAUAUAAAGAACUUGCUUGGCCAGUACUUAAAGUCCUGGACAUUAUAAUCAUGUGGUGUAAUCACAUGGUUUAAUGAAUUAUUGUUGAAUUUGCAACCAAAGAAUCAUGAAAAUGGUUAAAGACUGUCUCAGAGUCAUAUACAGUGGCUCCAUUAUAGUUUAAUUAAUAUACUUUGGCAAAGGGCAAUACUGGACAGCAAUAGAGAAUAUAAAGUGAUCACUCCUCACUUCCCUAUUCUUUGACUGACCUCCAAAUUACACUUUGUUAUACAAAUUUGUCCACUAAUUUCACAAUGAUCGUAUCAGGAACGAGUUCAAGUAUAUCAGAAGUAUAUUCUAGGUCUAAGCAAAAAUGUUUUAACACAAGUUUGUUCAAUUAACAGUCAUAAGCUGUAAGAUCAAUAAUAGGCUGAAUGCAAAUGCUAUUUAACAAAAACGUUACCAACAUCGCAUUGCAACAACAAAUAACACCGAUAAAAGACCGAAAACAAAUACAAUCCACCAAAAUAAGACCAGCUUCGCAUUGCAAGGUCAUGGAAUUUGAACUUAAGAUUCUAUAUGUUAUGUUUUAAGUCUGAACUCAAGUUUUGCCUAUAUCAGAUCAUAUUCCAAACUCAACUAAUGUGGGAGACUUGUGUAAUGAGUGCAACUGACCUUUUGCAACAAACAAGCACAUCAGUUCAAACUCUCCGACUAGCGUUUUCUUUUUAAAAUAAAAAGAAAACAGCAAUAGUUAUAAUCUCUCCAUUAAAGAUGACAAGUUCUGCAACUUUCGAAAUUAUUUAAUAACAUCACAUAGAAAAUCUACUCACUUCCCUAUUCUUCGACCGACUUCCCCAUGUGCCACAGAACCCAUAGCACAAGUACCGGAUCAUAUUAUUUUUAGCUUGUCCAGAUUUGGGUCCGGGAUCGUUUUAUUCGGAUCUAAACCGAUCCCGGGUAUUUGGGAUUCGGAUCUGAACCGGAUAUGAUCCAAUAUCGUAUUUUCUAUUUUUUAACCGGGUAGUUUAUGAUCCAUCGAAUAUGAGCCGGAUAUGAUCCACUUACACUAAGUAUCAUUAUUAUUUCAGUUGUUCAAAUAACUAUCAUUAGUCUAAGUAAACAUAAUAUUAUAAAGUAUAAUAAUUUUAAAUUAAAGCUUAUGGUUAUAUAUUGAUAUAUAUCAUUUAUUAAAUAUAUAUGAAGAUAAUAAGUAUGAUCACAUUAAAUAAAUCAUAUUUUAUGAAGAUAUAAACUUAAAUAAGAUAUUAAAAUUUUAUAAAAUGAUAACUAUUUACUUGCAAAUAUGAUGGUGUUAAAAUAUAAUAUGUAUAUGAGUUUGAAUCGAAUAUGAACCGCGGAUCAUAUUCGGUUAUUCGGGUAGGAUAAUAUUAUGAAAAGUUAUAUGAGCCCGAAUCUGAGCGGGUAUAGGUGUGCUCGUAUCCGGGAUCAUAUAUUAUACGGGCUUAAUUUUUCCGCCAGAUUUGGAUCGUUUUCAAAACGAAUAUGAGACAUGUAUCAUAUUUUCGAGCCGGAUAUGAGCCGAGACACCGGAUAGUCCGUAUCGAUUUACAGCCCUAGCAACAUCAUAAACAAAUGCAACUGUACAGUAACAUGGAGAAUCCAAUGUGCUGAAGACACCAAUACAUUUGAGCCUUAUCAAAUUUAUUACUCCCUCAUCCCAUUUUUAACUGUACUUUAUAUAGACUUGUUUGGUUUCUGCUGAAAAAAAAGUUGAACGAAUUAAUAUGGCUGAAGCAAUUGUGUCGAUUGUUAUGGGAAGGCUCGCUGAUUUAUUGAUUGAAAAACCUCAAAUCCUUAAUGAAGUGAGCGAUGAAAUUCAACUAGCUGUGACCGAGCUCAUGCGGAUAAAGACAUUCUUACCAGAUGCUGAUUCAAGGAUGGAUGUAGAAAGAAUCCGGAUUUUGCUCCGGGAUGUACGAGAGCUUGCCUAUGAUGCUGAACAUGCUGUCGAAACUUUUGUUAUUAAAGCCUCAUCGACUAAAAAACCAUUUCAGUGGAUGAACAGAGGCAAGUUUUCAAGGAAGAUGAAAGAUAUACAAAAAAAGAUGUCCAUCUUCUUCGAUUUGUUUUCUGAUUAUAAUAUCAGACCAACUUCUGAAUCAUCAACUUCCUCCAACAGAGAAUCGGGAAAACUAAAGCGAUUUCACUCUUUCACUACUCCUGAACCAGAGAUAUUUGUUGGAUUUCAUGACGACGUUGAAUGCUUGGUGCGACAUUUGGUGAAUGAAUCUGAUGAUUCUUACCCACUUAUAUCUAUUUGUGGAAUGGGGGGUCUGGGAAAGACCACUCUAGCUCAAAAGAUAUACAAUCACUCCGCCAUCAAGACUCACUUUGCUGGUUUAGCAUGGGUAUCAAUCUCGCGAAAGUGGCAAACAGAUCGGGUGUUGCAGAGAAUUCUUAUAUGUCUCGUCCCUGAGAACAAAAACUCUAUCCUUAAUAUGGAGACUGACAAGCUAGUGGAGUAUAUGCUACAAAUCCAGGAAAGGAAAAAAUGCUUGAUAGUCCUCGAUGACAUAUGGUCAACACAUGAUUGGAAUGCAUUAAAAGCUGCAUUUCCAGCCGGGAAGUCCAUAAGCAGAUUAAUGCUUACAAGCCGUAAUGCUGAGGUUGCUGACUAUGUGAAUUUAAACGGAUACAUUCACAAGCCAAAAUGUCUAAGUCCAGAACAAAGUUGGGAGCUACUCAAGUUAAAAGCACUUCACACAGGAAAUUGUCUAGGUACAUAAUUUUGGUUGUGUUAAUUAUAUUUCAUAUGCUUUUUCUUUACCAUAUCUUUUGUUUGACAACCUUAACUAACUGUAUUUUUUGUUACCUAAGUUCCAUAAAUUUGGGAAGAAAUCUGUCCAGCAACCUAAAAGAACAUUGUUCUGUUCCAUAACAUAUCGUUCAUGUUCGUUUACAAACCUAUGUAUUAGAAUUGUAAACGAAUCUAACAGUUCAUUAAGUGCCCUCUUGAGGUUUGAGUUAACGAACUUGAGUUCGAACCACAUAUUUUGUUUAAUAACCUUAACAAACAUUAUGGGGUUCAGUAAUUUUAGCUCGUGUUAACUUCAAGUUUAUCCGAGUUAAGUUCGUCGAUGGCUCUAACUUGAAUGUGUCUUUUAAACAUUUGCACUAGUUAAAGAAUUAGAAAUUAUCUUGGCUUGUGUGUAUACACACAGACACACAUAUGAAUCCCGUUUGUUGUGUGUUGCAGACAUUACCAGAGAUGUAAAGAGGAUGGAAGAACUGGGAAGGGAAAUGGUUGAACAUUGUGCCGGUCUUCCGCUAGCUAUAGUCGUCUUGGGUGGAAUUCUUGUAACAAAACCAUCGUUGAUAGAGUGGGAGAAGGUAUAUCGUGAUAGUAAAUCAUCCCUGAAGGCGGGGAAAGGACUGGGAGAAGCCUAUCAAAGGGAAAUAUUAAGUUUUUUAAUAUGGAGCUACAAUGAUUUACCGCCUCAGCUGAAGCCAUGCUUUCUAUAUUUAUCUAAGUUUAGUGAAGAUGAAUCGAUAGACAUAGAGACUUUGUAUCAGCUAUGGAUCGCAGAAGGAAUGAUACUCUCGAGUGACAAAAGGGAAGGAGAAACAAUGAUACAAGUGGCUGAAUCAUACAUGGGAGAACUAGUCCACAGGAAUAUGGUUCAAGUGAGAUUUAACGAUGUAGAAUCAUCGCUUACAAAGUUUGAAUCUUGUUCUCUGCACGAUCUUAUGAGAGACAUGUCUUUAAUACAAGCAAAAGCAGAAGAUUUUUUUGAAGUAAUACAUUUCCAAAGUGGAAAUGAGUUUCAUCUCAAAUCUACUACAGAGUCAAGGUCAGCUUCCACUCGAGUUGUGAUUCGUUUGGAUGAGGAAUAUUCUAGCAAAGAAGCUAAUUACUACUUUACCAAGAAACGCAAUCAAAAAUGCUAUCGAUCAAUUUUACUCCUCUGUGAGUUUGGGGCGAGAAGUCUGCCACGGGCCCUGGGGUUACAUUUUGCCAAUUUUAGGUUCCUAAAAGUCUUUUCUGUGGAGAAUUAUACCAAUUUUUCUGGUGCAUUUUCUCAUUUUAAUGUUGGAAGAGCAUUAGGGUCCCUUGUUUACUUGCGAUAUCUUAGUGUAAGGGGCAGUAAUUUGUCGGUUUUUCCAUCUCUACAAAAGUUGGUGCUAUUACAAACUCUAAAAUUGGAUAUAUCCGACAAGAUAUAUGUUUUACCAUGGCUGUCAAGAGAUGUUCUGGUGAAGAUGGAUUGUUUGCGGCAUCUGUAUUUGCCGAAAUUUAAAGUUGACGUUUUGGGAAGGAAAUCGAAAUUACGGUUUAAUGGGUUGAGCAAGUUAGAGACCCUGGAGAACUUUGACACUAGUUGGUGUGAGGUUAAGGAUCUACGUGAGCUAAUCAAUCUUCGGAAACUAACGGUAACAGUGAGGGGUAGCUGUGAUAUUCUGGAAGAAAUGAUGAAAAACUUGGAUGAUGUAGCCUCCUCAGCAUCUUCAUGUCUGAGGUUCUUGGGUGUCACUAUUGUUUAUUGUGAUAUUGAGCUGAACAAUGAUCUUACGAUCUUAAAACAAUUGGUAUAUGCCGAAAAUUUGAACCUUCGGGAAUUGAAAAUAUAUGGGUGUAUCCCAGAGGUGGGUCUAAUAUUUCCGCUGCAUGUAUCCACAAUUUGUAUUACAACUUUAAAUUUAGGGGAAUCAUACCUGGAAGAAGACCCAAUGCCAAUAUUAGAAAUGCUUCCAGUGUUGAGUGUUCUCCGAAUGUAUAGGGAUACAUAUGUGGGGAAGGAGAUGGUGUGCUCCGCAACCGGUUUUCCUAAACUCACCGUUCUUAUUUUGCACGAGUUCACAAACCUUGAAAAAUGGAGGGUGGAGGAAGGAAGCAUGCCCAUCCUUUCAUACUUGAUUAUUGCAAGUUGUAACAAGUUGGAGGAGUUUCCCGGAGGCCUUGUGUUCCUCAAGUCCCUUCAAAUAAGUCAAAUGCCUCAAGAUUUCAAUGAUAGGCUUAAAAGGCAAGAUGGUGAAGAAGGACCCGACUUUCACAAAAUUUCUCAUGUCGGUAGACUCAUUAUUGAUGAUCAGGGCUACAUUUGAAUGUUCUUGUAAGUUAGGUAUAAAGUAUUGUUUUGGUCGUGAAGAACAUAUUGCUUGAGAACUUAUUUGAUCAUUUGCUUCUCAUUAAUAUUAUAUGAUCAAUUUAUUUUCCAUUAAAAUUAAUACUUUUACUGUUGAAAAUAAUUUUAAUUAAUAAGCAAAAAUUUAAAACAUAAAUUACAAAAUUAUACUUUAUAAAAAUAUUAAAGGGUUUGCCGAUUCACGUCCCCAACAUAUAUUAUUCAGGACGAUGGAGAGCGUAAUAAUUAAAUAAGUUCAAUAACCGGAUUUUGGACUAUAUAUUUUAGUAUCUUAAUGUUCGGUUAUUUUAUGAUGGUUAUUAAUAUGAGUAAAGAUUUGUAUAAAUUUAUAUUUAAAAAUUUAUGCAACAUGAAGUUAAAUAAAUUAUUUUAAUAAAUAAAUAUAGAUCAUCAUCAUCAUCAUGAUUAUUUUUUAUAUUUUUGGAACAAUUAUAAUAGUAGGAUUCUUAAACAAUUAUUUAAAAAUUAAACAUUUUAUGUUGAACUCUUAUCCUUUAAAAUAAAAAAAAAAUCACUACUUUUUUCAACGAAAAAAAUGUAUGUGUUGAAUUACAUUUGGUUGCAAACUCAAUCUUUUUUCUUAAGAAUUUUACAAAGAAAGUAAAUCACCUAAAAGGACUUUAAACAUAUGACAAAAAAGACUCUAAACAUGUGUUUAGAGUUUUAUUCAGAACAAACUAUUAGUUUCCAAUUACGAUCAUCAGUGAUCAGACUACUUAAAAGAACUACUCUUUUCAGACUAUUGCAAUUACGAUCAUCAUACUACUGAAAGAACUGCUACUUUAGAAAAAGGCUCAGCAUCCUCAGGUUCAUGUUCACACCAUAUUCUUUUGUGAACUAGGGGCACAAUUUUCAUCAUUUUCUUUGUCUUACAAGCCAUGCAAUCUAGUCAUUUGAAAUUGAUCACUUUAAAGACCAUCCUUGUGUCUCGUUCAUUUUUCUUGAGGUGAACAAGAGUUAAACAAAUUCGGAAGCGAUAAAUAUAACAGUCUUCUAACAGAAAAUCGAUUUAUGAUAAUUUUAGACUGCAGAAAAAGAGAGGAAAUAAUAUUUCACUGACCAAUAUGUAAUAUGUUUUCAUGCGAUUGCGGCCAACACAACAGAGCACAUUGUUUCCCACAUGUUGCAACAAAACACCAAAACUAGGAGACUUCUAACUCUUGACUCCACCCAUUGUUCAAACUUUUUCUUUGUGAUCUUCUCUUUUUUAUAAUAAAACACUUUUGGUUUUUUUUUUUUCUUUAUGGUUAAACUACAAUAUAUACAGCGUUUAGGACUGGGAAACUGCUUUCUUCAAGACGCUGAAGGCAACGAGCAUAAGCAGUGAUAUCAUAAUCUUCUUUGAAGCAAGAAUCCGCAAGUUCACCUUCAUGCCAUGGUCUCUCAUGAGCUUCACCGUUGCCCUAAUUACUGAAAUAAGCCAGAAUACAACGGACAAGAACACCAAUUUCAUUGUGUCUGCAGGUCCAUUCACAGUUCUUGUGCCUCCCGACACCUCGACAUAGGACCAAGCAGCGCCUUGAUUAUCGGUGGUUCCACUAUGAUUGAGGCCAAGUUUCUUGUUCAACCAACAUGAUAAAGUCACAAGCAGCUUUGCAAGCCAUGCAAUCUCAUCAUUGGAGACUGGUCGCUUCAACCAGUCACCCCUGUAUUUCAUACCGGUUUGCUUCUUGUUGCGUAUCACUCUAGGACUAAAUAUCUCAUCACGUGGAUGCUGAUUUUCUCUCGUCUCGGGGACUGCUUGUGUGUUCCUUGGAGUAGAGUUACCAAAUAAGCACCCCAUCUGGGCUUUGAUAGAAUCUAAACAAGCCAUAUUCUGAGCAUGAUUAUCUCCCAAGACAGUCUGCAGCUCCGACUCAGCACGCAACACAAAGAGCUGCAAUAACAAUGUGACUAGUGAGUGAGACUUGACAUUUAGAAUGACACCAUUUCAGUUCCUAGAAUUUAUAUGGUUCAUACAGAUAUAUUUAAGUACACUAUAUGCUAAAAGAAGAGAGGGGGAAAUAAACCUGUAGCAGCUGUUGUCUGCCAUCAUCACCAUCACUAAAUAACUGCAAAUCCUUGUUCCAAUUCUCGUGCAAGAAAGAGCCAUCAGCAUCAUUUUCACACAAUCCAUCCUCCCAGUCCUUGUAACGCAAAAAAGAACAAGGGAUUUACAUAUAAACAUCUGAAAAAGAGUUGAAGAAUGCGCUCGCGCACACAAAAGAGAUGCAGUUAGGUCUUCAUACCUGCAGUUGUUCUCUGAUUGAUGGAACAAAUCUGUACAAGUUGUUGUGUAUGGGUUUGGAUGACCCAGAAGGCUUAGAAUGGAAGACAGUGUCCACAUUGUUUAUAAGAUUCAUCAGCUCACUGGACGAUGUCAAUAUGCUUAAGACCUGCACAAGAAAUACAAGAAACAUAUACAAAAUAAGUAAACGGAAACUAUAACGAAUUGAUCCUGGGAUAAAAAUAUAUACUAAUUAUAAAAGAAAAUUUCCCCACUGUUACCCUGACUCUUCAUUUUGCCUCAAGUACCGGUGUCGGACACUCAACACUUGAACAUCGGACACUCAACACUUGAACAUAGGUACAGACACUACAGAACUUAUUUUAGGCCAAAAACAUGUAAAUUUUCAGAAUACUACCGAGACACACUCGGACAGGUAACCAUGUUGGACACUUUUAGCUGACUCCAGGUAAUAUAGAUUCUUCAUAUGUAAGCUUACCAGAAGUAUCCCAUCAGCGCCCAUAAAUGAAAAGAAGCCGAAAGAAACUAUAAAAGAGGAAUAUAGCAGAUUAUUAUUAAUUAGUAGCCUUGCAUAAGUUUCCUCUAUAAUUCAACACAAGUAGCUUUCUGUUGUCGUUCAUUCAGAUGUAUCCAUCGAGCAUUUGCCAGGACUGCUGAAGCAAUUUAGGCUUUUAUCUAUAGUCUAUGCAUGCAAAACUAUGGUUGACCGUCACUAACUACAGACCAAUUUAAUUUAUUUUUUAUUUAUCCUCUUAUGUUCUGCUUAUCCAGGUAAAAAAAAAAAAUUGAUUUGGUCAAAAAUAUACACAACACAACUAUAUAUGGAGAAACUUGUGAGCAAAUCCUAAAAAAUGCAUAACCAAGGAACUAUAGAACAAAUAGUUGAUCAACACAAAGCAUUGCCAGGAACUAGAAUAUCCACUUGAAGAAGACUGUACUUCCUUUUUAGUACCAUUGCUCGACACCUCAGCAUUUACAUCUAGACCAGAAAAAUCUUCAAAGCUAAUGUUCCAAGGUUCUAUAUAAUUAAUCCCAAGCCAAAACACCUGAGAUCUGGGAAGUACUGGACGCAAAUACGGGGAGUCCGGAAAAUGAGUAUUUGGCAUGGGAAUACCAAAAAUAUAAAAAAUAUUUAAAUUAUACUCCAUUUCACACUCUUAUUUCUUAGCACUCACACACAUUUUAAAGGUGCGUAUCCUUUAUUCUAUACAUCCACCACAAUAUGCAGUUAACCAAUAAGAAAAUAAAUGGAUCUGGAUAUGGAUUUGACUAAAUUCGAUACAAAUCCGACCCGCUGACAAGCCUGCUUGGAAACACAUCAAAUUAUUUAUAUUCUAAUCAUAAACUCAUAAAAGGAGAAAAACAAAAAAAAAAUAUGAUUUAAAAAGGUCAGAGUCAAAGCAGUGGACUGUAUACAGACAUAUGUGCAACACAUAUAUACAGAUCUGGACCAGAGAAGAGAUAACAAAACAAGCAGCAGAUUGAACUCAGAGAAGAGAUAACAGUCGGAAAGCGAAGUCACAAGGAGAGCUAACUGGGUAUGUAUCUUUGUAAUAUAAGCUCUGUUUUUUGUUUUAAUGAAUUAUUGCAGAAGAUUGAUGACUUAUUGUUGAACUUUGCAACCAAAGAACCAUGAAAAUGAUUCAAGACUGUCUCAGAGUCAUAUAGAAUAGUUUAAUUAAUAUACAGCAAAGGGGAAUAGUGAUCAGCAAUAUAGAAUCUAAUGUGCUCAUGACACCAAUACAUUUUUACUACUUUAUUACUCUCUCGAUCCCAUUUUUAACUACUUGUUUGGUUCCUGGAGAAGAAUAGGUUAAACAAAUUUAUAUGGCUGAAGCAAUUGUGUCGAUUGUUGUGGGAAGGCUCGCUGAUUUGUUGGUUGAAAAACCCCAAACCCUCUAUGAAGUGAGAGAUGAAAUUCAACUAGCGAUCACCGAGCUCACGCGGAUAAAGACAUUCUUACCAGAUGCUGACGCAAGGAUUGAUGUAGAAAGAAUCCGGAUUUUGCUCCGGGAUGUACGAGAGCUUGCCUAUGAUGUCGAAACUUUUGUUAUUAAAGCCUCAUCCACUAAAAAACCAUUUCAGCGGAUGAACAGAGUCAAGUUUUCAAGAAAGAUGAAAAAUAUACAGAAAAAGAUGUCCCUCCUCUUCAAUUUAUUUUCUGAUUAUAAUAUCAUACCAACUUCUGAAUCAACUUCCUCAAACAGAGAAUCGGGAAAACUUAAGCGAUUUCACUCUUUCACUACUCCUGAACCAGAGUUAUUUGUUGGAUUUCAUGAAGACGUUGAAUGCUUGGUGCGACAUUUGGUGGAUGAAACUCAUGAUUCUUACCCACUUAUAUCUAUUUGUGGAAUGGGGGGCCUGGGAAAGACUACUCUCGCUCAAAAGAUAUACAAUCACUCUGCCAUCAAGACUCACUUUGCUGGUUUAGCAUGGGUAUCAAUUUCGCGAAAGUGGCAGACAGAUCGUGUGUUGCAGAGAAUUCUCAUAUGUCUCGUACCUGAGAACAAAGAAUCUAUCCUUAAUAUGGACAGCGACAAGCUAGUGGAGUAUAUGCUACAUAUUAAGGAACGGAAAAAAUGCUUGAUAGUCCUCGAUGACAUAUGGUCAACUGAUGUUUGGGAUGCAUUAAAAGCUGCAUUCCCAGCCGGGAAGUCCAUAAGCAAAUUAAUGCUUACAAGCCGUAAUGUUGAGGUUGCUAAGCAUGUAAAUUUGAACGGAUUCAUUCACAAGCCAGAAUGUCUAAAUCCAGAACAAAGUUGGGAGCUACUCAAGUUGAAAGCACUUCACACAGGAAAUUGUCUAGGUACAUAAUUUUACUUGCGUUAAUUAUGGUUCAUAUACUUUUUCCGCACCAUAUCUUUGGUACGACGGCCUUAAUGAGCCAUAUUUUCUGUUACUUGAGUUGGAUAAGUUUGGUUAGAGAUCUGCCCAGACAACCUUAAAUAACAUUGUUCUGUUCAAGUAACAUUUUUUUCGUGUUUGUUUGAAUUCGUUAGUCGUUUACAAACGUAUGUAUUAGAAUUGUAAAUGAAUGUAACAGUUCAUUAAGUGCCCUCUUGAGGUUGAGUUAACGAACUCGAAUUCAAACCACAUAUUUUGUUUGAGAACCUUAACAAACUUUAUGGGGUUCAGUAAUUUUUGCUGGUGCUGACUCGAAGUUUAUCCGAGUUAAGUUCAUUUAGGGCUACAACUUGAACGUGUCUUUUAAAUAUUUGCACAAGUCAAAUGACUAAAUUAGAAAUUAUCUUGGCUUGCGUUUGUGUGUCUAUAUAUACACACAUAUGAUUCCCGUUUCUUGUGUGUUGCAGACAUUUACNUUUGGGAUGCAUUAAAAGCUGCAUUCCCAGCCGGGAAGUCCAUAAGCAAAUUAAUGCUUACAAGCCGUAAUGUUGAGGUUGCUAAGCAUGUAAAUUUGAACGGAUUCAUUCACAAGCCAGAAUGUCUAAAUCCAGAACAAAGUUGGGAGCUACUCAAGUUGAAAGCACUUCACACAGGAAAUUGUCUAGGUACAUAAUUUUACUUGCGUUAAUUAUGGUUCAUAUACUUUUUCCGCACCAUAUCUUUGGUACGACGGCCUUAAUGAGCCAUAUUUUCUGUUACUUGAGUUGGAUAAGUUUGGUUAGAGAUCUGCCCAGACAACCUUAAAUAACAUUGUUCUGUUCAAGUAACAUUUUUUUCGUGUUUGUUUGAAUUCGUUAGUCGUUUACAAACGUAUGUAUUAGAAUUGUAAAUGAAUGUAACAGUUCAUUAAGUGCCCUCUUGAGGUUGAGUUAACGAACUCGAAUUCAAACCACAUAUUUUGUUUGAGAACCUUAACAAACUUUAUGGGGUUCAGUAAUUUUUGCUGGUGCUGACUCGAAGUUUAUCCGAGUUAAGUUCAUUUAGGGCUACAACUUGAACGUGUCUUUUAAAUAUUUGCACAAGUCAAAUGACUAAAUUAGAAAUUAUCUUGGCUUGCGUUUGUGUGUCUAUAUAUACACACAUAUGAUUCCCGUUUCUUGUGUGUUGCAGACAUUUACAAAGUGGACAUGAGUUUCAUCUCAAAUCUACUUCAGAUUCAAGGCCAGCUUACACUCGACUCGUGAUUCAUUUGGAUGAGGAAUAUUCUAGCAAAAAAGCUAAUUACUACUUCUCUAAGAAAGGCAAUGAAAAAUGCUAUCGAUCAGUGUUAUUCUUUGGUGUCUUCGGUCCGAGAAGUUUGCCACGGGCAUUGGGGUCACAUGUUGCCAAUUUUAGGUUCCUAAAAGUGUUUUCUGUAGAAAAAUACACAAAUUUUUCUGGUACGUUUUCUCAUAUUAACUUUGGAAGAGCAUUAGGGUCCCUUGUUUACCUGCGAUAUCUUAGUGUAAGGGGCAGUAAUUUGUUGGUUUUUCCAUCUAUGCAAAAGUUGGUGUUGUUACAAACUCUUAACUUAGAUACAUUCGAGGGUAUGUAUGUUUUACCAUGGCUGUCAAGAGAUGUUCUGGUGAAACUGGAUUGUUUGCGGCAUCUGUAUUUGCCGAUAUUUAAAGUUAACGUUUUGGGAAGGAAAUCAAAAUUUCGGUUUAAUGGGUUGAGCAAGUUAGAGACCCUGGAGAACUUUGACAGUAGUUGGUGUGAGAUUAAGGAUCUACGUGAACUAAUCAAUCUUCGAAAACUAACGGUAACAGUGAGAGGUAGCUGUAAUAUUCUGGAAGAAAUGAUGAAAAACUUGGUUGAAAUAGCCUCCUCACCAUCUUUUCGUUUGAGGUACUUGGGUGUUUGUAUUCUUAAUUGUCAUCUUCGGCUGAAAAACGGUCUUACUAUCUUGAAACAAUUGGUGUGUGCUGAAAAAUUGAACCUUCGACAUUUGAGAAUACAUGGGCGUAUCCCAGAGGUGGGUCUAAUAUUUCCAGUGCGAUAUGUUGGGGAUAAUUAUGCACAUGUAUCUACAAUUCAUAUUACAAGUUUAAAUUUAUCGAGAUCAUACUUGGAAGAGGACCCGAUGCCAAUACUUGAAAUGCUUCCAAUGUUGGGUGAUCUCUUUAUGUUUACAGAUACAUUUGUGGGGAGGAAGAUGAUGUGCUCCGCAACCGGUUUUCCUAAACUCACCAAUCUUUGUUUGUACGAGUUCCCCAAUCUUGAAAAAUGGAGGGUGGAGAAAGGAAGUAUGCCUAUCCUUUCAUACUUGCUUAUUGAAAGUUGUAACAAGUUGAAGGAGCUUCCAAAAGGCCUGGUGUUCCUCAACUCCCUUCAAGUAUUAAGAAUAUACCAAAUGCCUCAAGAUUUCAAUGAUAGGCUUACAAGGAAUGAUGGUGACGAGGGACCUGACUUUCACAAAAUAUCUCAUGUCCGUAGAGUCCGUAUAGAUAAUGAUCAGGAAUACAACUGAACGUUCUUGUAAGUUCCUAAGUUGUAACGUUUUUGUUUUGGUCUUGAAGAACAGAUUGUUUGAGAAACAAAUCAGAGAUAUUAUUAUAAUAUAUAGUAAUAAUUUUUUGAUGAGAAAAAAGGAGGUGAGAUCAACCUUAUUUAAACUGAUUGCUUCCUAAGGUUAAAUGACACACAUGCAUAUGUUCGUUAGGUAUCGUGUAAUCUCUCUAUUUUUAUUAAAAAAUACCUCUAUUUACCUGAUAAUAUCUUCACUCCAUCUACAUACAUCAAAAGUAAUUCAUUUUUUUUGUCUUAUGUUGAUUCUGGGCCUUGGAAUGGAAUAGCAAACACACGCAGAUGAGUAUAAUUCAAAGUAAUCUUCUUGUGAAUGUAGUUUAUAAUUCACUUUAAUUUUUUUAGGAAAUGAGUAAUAAUAUUGAAGAUUGUCAAAUUCUGGAAGAUUCGCCAUCUGAGGAUUCAUUGUCUACCAAUUUACAGGAUACCUACACUGCUGAAUUGGAUAUAGAGGAUGGUACACGAGCAUUUUUCAUGUCUCAUGAAGAUAUGUUAUUUCAAUCACAAGAAGAAGCAUAUAAUUUUUAUAACAGCUUUGGUUUGACUAAAGGAUGUGCAAUAGGUAAAUUUUAUAUAUACAAGUCUUAUGGUGAGAAGAACUCUUGUAUCUGAUAGAGAAGGUUUCAAAAACAAAAUAAGAGGAUGAUAGUGAGGACAACAUAAAACGACGUCGAGAAACUAGAUGUGGUUGCAAAGGUUCAAUGGAAAUUAUCCUAAAGAAAUUAGGGACAUGGAAAAUGAAAAAAAAAUUAAUAAUAUCCAUUCACAUGACUUGCUCAAGAGUCCGAAUAAGAAAAGAAAAUUAAGGUCUCAGAACAAGUUUCAUUAAGAUGCAACUUAUAAGAAAUUGAUUGAUAAAUUUAGUAGUUGCGGAGUUGGGCCAACAAAAAUAUCAGGCAUUAUAAAUACUGCUAGUGGUAGUGUUACAGAUGUCAUGACACCCCAACAAUAUUCUGAAGAGUUAAGAAUUAAGAGAAGAUAUUCAGAAUCAAGAGAAAAAAUAACAUCGGCAAGGAGUGUAUAAUUAAUGUAGUGCGGAUUAUUUUUAGAGAGGAAAGCAAGAUAUUCUGAAUUUUAGUAUGCCAUUCAACUUGACGAACAUGGCUGUAGAAGUAUUUUCUGGUGUUAUGCCAGAGCGAGAAAAAUUUUAUAAGAAAAUUUCUGAUGUGAUAGUAUUAAUCGGGACUAAUACAAUUUAUUGUAGGAAUGGAGUCUUCUCAAAGAAGUGAAAGUACGAAUUCGUUUUUUGAUGGUUAUGUCAAUAGCAAUACUCCUUUGUCUAUAUAUAUUGACCCGUAUGAAAAAGAAAUUACUGGCCAUCGUGAUAGAAAAGAGAUAGCAGAAUUGGAUAUCAAUGACAACUAACCCUGAUUUGACAAAUAUGCAUAGCUUGGAAGCUCAUGCUGGAAAAGUUUAUUCUCGAAAUAUAUUCAAAUUAUUUUAGAACGAAUUUAUGCAGAUUUUGCAUUGCCAGCAUAACAAAAAAGUAGCUGCAGGUGUCUAGAUGGUGUAAGAUGUAACUUUCAACGAUCAUAAUAGGCCACACAUCUGUUAAGGUUUGCAAGUGUUCGUGCUAAAUUUGAGACAUGGGGUAUUGUAUGCAAACACAUAUUGUAUAUAAUGAAAUAAAAAUUAAGAUUAAAGAUCAUACCUGUUGAAUAUAUUUUGUCAAGAUGGACCUUAAAAGGCAUACAAUUAGUUCAACGGUCAGUGUGAACAAUGAUGGUGCACCUGGUUUGAAUAUAGAUUGUAACACGCGUAGGUAACAUCUCUUGAAUCUUUGACAUUGUGAGGUGAUUUUAACAAACUUCAUGGAAAGAUAAUUACUCGUAGAGAUCUCUAUGAAGUAAUGGAAAGGGAAAUAAAGAUGUGGUGGAAAGACAUUGACAUGAUUGAAAGUAAAUAAGUGCCACCACCGCCAGUGUCCGUAAAUGUAGAUGAUUUUUCAGAGGCAAAUAUAUAUAGCGGAUAAAAGUCCUUAAGAGAUCAUGUUAAAGUUCAUCAUCAGCGAUCCUACCAGAUGCAAGACGAAACGUAGACCGCGUAAUUCAUCCAAAAUCCCUACCGGAAUGUAGCAAUUUCAAGAUUUGAAGUAGAAAAGAGUUUGUGGAAAUUGUGGUCGGAAUGGGCACUACAAGAGUACAUGUAAAAGUAGUAAAUAAUGAAUUUUUUUAAAAAUACUAUGUUGCCUUGUUUUUAAACUCAGCAGUUCUUCUCAACUUUUAUUUGGUUUCAGAUUUUUAUUAAAAUUAAGUUCAAAAAAAAUUCCAACUAAUUUAGUCUAUAUUAAUUUUAUGAAAUUCCUGUCAAUUUUUACCAGUAUGUUAGCCAAUAUAUUCCUGGUUAUAAGUGGCAGCGGUGCUUAUAGUCCAGGCACAUUUAUUGUUGCACGAUUCCUGAAUGCUAAUAUGGAGUUAGCCAGAAAUUUUCUUGUUUUAUGCAAAUCCAGAAAUUUGCUCUCUACUUUUAUUCAGUUUAUGAAAUGGACAGUUUAUAAGCUCCGAAAGGUAUAUCUAGUGAUUUUGUCCGCAAGUUCUCGACCACUUGCAGACCGUCAAUAUCAAUACCAGGCCACAUUUAUUAUUUUCACACUAACUUUUAAGUUGUGGAGGGUCGAGAAAUCAAAAUGCAUGUAAUCAGGAUAAGCCAACAAGGAUGCUGUCAACUGUUUUGUUGCAGGACCAGACUCACAACUAUUUGUCGGUGUUAACUGGCCACACUGGACCAGUCAAGUGUAUUCCAUUUCAAGGGUCUUCUGCUCACCAGUGUAGUGUUUAUGAUAUGAAAGUAGACCUGCAAGCAUAAAAGCAAGCAAAUGCCAGCCUUCCUAGCAAAUAAUAACUUACAUGUUUGCAAUGAGUGUUUCCUAACUUUGUGACUGCAUAGUGACUAAGAAAAAAUCAAAGAAAUCAGUUGAUUACAGGUUCUGUUUCACUGGAGUCCAUAAUUAAGCAUAGCUGGGUAAUCUGAGGCAUUAAUCACCAUCCCCUGAAAUGCAUUUUCUUACUGCUCUGUUGGUAAUUUUUAUUUUAGUAGCAUUGAAUACUCGGAUUCCUGAUGAUUAUGUUUGCUAAUCCUACUACUAUUGUAUAAUGUUAAUGGACCUAGAGCAUCUGCAAUGAGAUUUUUAAACAAGUUCUUAACUCUAAAUUUAUAGAGUAAGUUAAGAAUUAUUGCUCCAAUGAGCUCCAAGAAGCUCUUUAAAAAUUUAAGAGCCUACUAUCUCCUCACUUUUAAAGAGCAUCCAGUAGCUCUUAUCUUUUUAUUUGUGAAUAUAAUAUUAAUUUCCCUCCAAUCUUCUCUCUCUUUUAAUUAAGUUUUCUCUCUCAUUUAUACAAAAUAAAUAUAAAAUAUGAAUAAAGAGCUACGUAUAAACAGUAGCAUUAAAGUAAUCAUGUUUUUCAAUGUAUUAAGUCACUAGGGGCCAUAAUUUAUAUUAUUGUUUAAGAAAUGAUUUAGUAGCACCAUUGGAGAUGUUCUUACUCCUUGUGAACAUAGAAUAAAUUAUUUUUUUUGUGCCAAUUCAGUUACGUAAAGAUUUGUCAGAAACAUUUUGUUACUCCACACUAUAAAUUGUCGUGGACGAAUUUUGACCCAUGACAAGUUUUCUCUUCAUAACAUUAUCACUUGGAAAGGUCCUUCAGCAAAUGACAGGAUGUCACCAAUUGCCAAAUUCAUUGCAAUUGCGAACUAUUAAAUUUUUGUUAAUUCAUGUUGGAGUGCAUGAACUGCUAUAGCUUUAAUAUACAUGAUUUCCCGACCUGAACUGCUAUGAGUGUUUCCUAGAUUUGAUGGUGAUCAAUAUGUUCAUGGACGGGGCAUCGCCAUCUCAGAGGAGAAGCGGAAGAGGAUGCGACAAGAAGAUUUAUGUGUGUAUUGUAUACUCCCUCCGUCUCAUUCAUUUGUAUACAGUUUCUUUUUUUUGACGUCCCACCAAUUGUAUAUAUUCCAAAAAUAGUAAACUUUUAUAAUAUAAAACACCAUUACACCAACUAUUUUCCUCCACUAUCUCCAUUCUAUAACAAUAUAAACACUAUUACACACAUUACUUUCCUCCACUAUCUCAAAUCUAUUAUUAAAUAUAAAUGGGUCCCACCACUAUACCUACUUUUCAUCUAACUUUACUAUUUUUUACAUUUUUUCUUGGUCUUCGUAUCCCAACCAAAUGUAUACAAAUGGUUGGGACGGAGGGAACUAGAGCACACGUGAUAGUCAUCAAUCCAGUCAUUUUAAUUUGUUCCCAAAGCUUGGGUGGUGUGGAUGUUAAUAUCGUCUGAGAACCAUUCAUGUUUGAGCAAAGAGUUGCGUGUUAAUAUCGUCUGAGAACCAUUCGUGUUUGAGCAAAGAGUCAUUUGAGUAAAUAUGAAAGAUCUCCCCUGUAGAUGUAGAAACCAUUGAAGUUAUAUAAAACUCAAGCAAAUCACAAAUGCACACACAGGUGAGACAAGCUCGUUUUAUUAAUCCGAUAAAUUGCUGCUUACAAAAUGAAAGAAACACACUCUGAUAAACUCAAGUUCAGAGUGUUGGAAAAAAAGUCCUACUUAAACAACUAGCUAAGAUGGUAAGGAUAAACAAGAACUGCUGCCUAUGGUUAAUCCACUCCUACAUGCACUCAUGAAAAACAGCUACUGCUAUGGCCUAAUCUUGUGUGCACACUGAUCACAUAGCAACUUAUUUAAAUUAACUAAAUUAAAUAAAAGCAACUGAAGUAUAUCAGAAUUUAGAUCAAACUCCAACAAGCUCCCCUAAUCUAAACUCGAUUGCAGGUUCUUCACACCCAAUAGCUCACACAUUCCCUCAAACUUAGCCCUUGACAAUGCCUUGGUCAAUACAUCAGCUCUCUGUUCAUUUGUGUUGACAUGUACUUUGAGUAUAAUUUCACCACAUUCUACACAUUCCCAUAUAAAGUGGUAGCGAAUAUCUAUGUGUUUACUCCUUCAUGAAACACUGGAUUCUUUGCCAAAUCUAUUGCCCACUUGUUAUCAAUAUACAGCACCACAGGACCAGCCUUUAUAUUCGUCAUCCGUCUGAGAAGUUUAUAAAGCCAUAUGCCUUGACACGCAGCUGCGUUGUUUUUGACAUUGCCAUACCUCUAGUAGACCUCUUGUCAUCCACAUUUCCAACUAGGUCGCUGUUUGAAUAUCCUGAGAGCAAGUAGUUUCCAUCCCGUUUAGAAUAAACCAACCCAUAAUCAAGAGUUCCAUUCACAUAACGUAAAAUUCGUUUUGCUGCAGCUAGGUGCAUGACUAUGGGUCUCUCCAUGAACCUGCUUACAAUGCCAACUGAAUAAGCUAUAUCAGGUCUUGUAAAUACAAGAUACCUGAGUCCUCCAACCAUACUUUUAAGGCUUAAUGACCUUUUAGCCCUCGAAGUAUGAAUGGAAGUUCCGAUGCGGUCUUGAAGUUUAAAAACGUACCUUUCGACCCUCAAAGUAUUUUUGUCGUACCUUUUAGCCCUUUUUAAAAAUACCGGCAUAAAUCAGGGGAUAACUUGAAAAAUAGGCAAGAGCAUAACCCAUCAGCACACCAAGAAUUCCUACUAAUUCUCAUUUUAAGCCGACCCUUGAACAUAUAUAAACCAUGUAGGCAAGUAUUCCUUAAUUAAAGAAUGAAUAAAACUUUCUCCAUCUGUUAUCUAAACUAUUGAAGCCACCAGCGAAGUUGCAACCUUGACAUGUGCCAUUGCUGCAGCAAAAGAAACCUGAUUAUAUCGCAUUCCGUAUUUUACUUUUUUCAGCUUCUCUAGUUAUUCUGUAGGCAAUCCCUUAGUUGCAAUUUCGCUAACAGUAUCCAGCAGCUGGGUAACUAUUUCUUUUGAGAUAAAUAUAACAUUCCCGACAGAUCGGUGGACACGUAGGUAAAGUAUUCCAUUCAUUAUUGUUUUUCCAUGUCAGACAUACCAAUCAUUGCCAUCUGUCAGCAAGGUGGAUGUUGUUGAGGUUAAAUUUUUCAACUUAACGUUUGCUGUUAGAUUUUUCUAAAAAAGUUAAUAGAAUGAUAUAUAAUAUAACAGUAUUUUAGUGGGUUAUAUGAGUCGCCGUGGAGAUCGGGUAGCUACUUGAUAUAUUUUGCUGAGUUCGAUGGGCAAUCUGAUAUAAAACCCAAAACCAAACCAAAUUAAUACUAAAUUUGAUAUUUGAUAUAAUAUAUGAUUUUGGUUCAUAAACCCGUCCAAAUCCAUAUUAAUCAACUAAAAUUGGUCCAAAACAUGAGAGGUCUACUUACUCUCUUGACACAAUUGGUAUAUGAUGAAAAUUUGAACCUUCGGGAAUUGAAAAUAUAUGGGCAUAUCACAGAGGUGGAUCUAAUAUUUCCGCUGCAAUAUGUUGGGGAUAGUAAUGCUCAUGUAUCUAAAGUUCGUAUUACAAGAUUACAUUUAUCGAUUUCAUACCUGGAAGAAGACCCAAUGCCAAUACAAUACUGGAAAUGCUUCCAAUGUUGGGUGUUCUCUGUUUGUUUACCGAUACAUAUAUGGGGAAGGAGAUGGUGUGCUCUGCAACCGGUUUUCCUAAACUCACCCACCUUUUUCUGGACAGCUUACCGAAUCUUGAAAAAUGGAGGGUGGAGAAAGGAAGCAUGCCCAUCCUUUCAUACUUGCGUAUUCAAAGAUGUAACAAGUUGGAGGAGCUUCCAGAAGGCCUGGUGUUCCUCAAGUCUAGGGGUGUGCACGGGUCGGUUCGGCUCGGUUUCUACCUAAAACCGUUACCGAACCGUGUAUUUCGGUUCGGUUCGGUUUUUGGGUAGAAACCGUAACCGAACUGUUUCAAACGGUUUUUUUCGGUUCGGUUAACCGUGGUCGGUUGCGGUUUUUUUCCGGUUUUUAUAUGAUUAGAAACUACUAUACAAAUUUAAUACUUUUAUUAAUUUUAGAAAAAUAUUUAUAUACUUAUUAUAUCAAUUUUUCUUACUAGAAUAUAUAAUUAAUAUAUUGUAGCACAUAUAUAUAUAUAUAUAUAUAGGGAUAUGAUCAAAUAAAAACUUUUUUAAGUUACAAACUUACAAACUUUUUUUUAUUCUCCCAUCGUGUUAAUCCUUAGUUAUAUAAAGUAUCUAUGUUGAAAAUUCUUCAAAAAAAAUCACAAUUUUUAAAAAUAACGCAUAAAUAAAUCGCGUUUUCAACACAUUUAUAACUGGGGUUCAACAUCGGGUGUUGAACACUAAUUAUCAUUGUGUUGAAUAUAUCUAAAAAGAUGUUUAAACUAUACCUCUGGGGUUUGGGUAGGGUCUAGAAACAUAAAUAUUAGUUAUAUAACAUGUUUACCUUAGUUCUUACAUUUAAAAAUUGGUUUACGUACUUCUCCACCACUAUUUUAAUCGAUGUUCAACAAAAUAUGUUAAAAAAAUGUUGAACUCAAGUUAUAUAUGUGUUGAACAAAAAAAGUUUGUAAGUUUGUAAGUUUGUACCAGAACCCUCCCCUAUAUAUAUAUAUAUAUAUAUAUAUAUAUAGAGGAAAGUUAUUUGGAGUACCAUAAUUUAUUGGAGUCUUGGAGUCCACAUCCAGGCCAUCCAUUCUUUUUUGAUCCAAAGGCUGCUAUUAAGACUCAUUUCUUUUAUAAAAAUAUAUAAUUUAAUAUAGCAUUUAUACAUACAGGCGUGCUAUUUCAGAUAACUGCAACUACUUAAAUCAAGCAGUUACAACAAAUUGAGAGUUUUCAGGAGUACAACACGCAAACAUGUCCUGCAACAUCUGUAUCUUACACUUCGCCCACUGAUUAGUAACUUCGUUAAUAUCUUUCUUUGUUUUCACAUUUCUUUGUUUAAACUUUUCUACGAAAUGCUUAUAAUAUCACUCUGUAUGAUGUUUUAACUUGUACAGUAUCAUACAAAGGAUGAUCUUACUAUUCUGUGUAAUUAAGGAGCAUACGAUUUACGAAGGGACACAUGUAUACUCAGCUAUAAUAUUGUAGUAGAGCUUUCCAUUCCUUUUACACUACACCAAUUUUAACUUCAUAAGGAUUUGGAACUAAUUAAUGUUGGGUUGCUUAUAACAUACCAAAAAUCUAAAGCAGGAUUUUACAAAACUUCAUCAAAAAGAAAAUUGCAAACAUAUUUUCACUAAUUAGCUUCAAUGCAAUAACCUCAUUCACAUUGUCACCAACCCAAAAGUUCCGAAAUAAAAACAACCAUUCAAACCGGUCCCAACAUAUAACGUAUCAAAUGUUCUAAAAAACCCAAUUAAGUAGUAGUGAUAACAAGACUGUUUACAUAAAUCUGCUACAUUUCACACAACUUCUUCCUGCUCAACCGCACCAUCUUAUUCAGCACAAAGUACUUUUUUUUGUUCUCCGACCAUGUGAGCAUACGACUUGCAUAUAAAAAUAAACUUUUUCUGGAUGUAUCCCUCAUACGUCCUAAUCUUCUUCACCUUGUCUACCUUGGUUGGUGUCCCUCGAACUACCACAUGACCCCUGCUAGCACUACUUUGAACACCGCGUCUGCGUGUCUGGUACCACAAUAAAUAAAUUAGAAUAUUAUCAGGACUGCUGCACAAAUGCCAUAUACAAAAUUAAUAUUCUUACAUUUAGCACAUUAAUAUUACCUUUGUAAUUUUUUUCACUACAGAACCUACCCUCGAUCGGUCAGGUGUUCUAUCGGGUACAAUUUCUCCCUUAUCACUGGUGCCCUGCAGAUUACAAUUAACAACACAACUACAGUAUAAAUAAACUACAUAAGGCGUCAACAAAAGUACAUUACAAACAACAUAACUAACAACUCGCAAACAACAUUUCGCAUAUGCACAACUAUGGCAACAAGAAGAAAGUUUCUAUGGAAACAAAUAUAUAUUACAAUAGUGUGACAAAUAUAGGUGUAAAGUUUUAUUGAAUUGUGAGGUCCAUGGGGAUUGUUCUUUUAGUGUGAGCUGUGUUUUUUUUAUUUAGGUGAUGUGAAUAUGCAGUACUAUGGCAACUUGCUCUUGUAAAGAGAAGUCGCAAGCUGUAACAUUUUCACCAUACUGGGUUUUUUUUAAUUAUUAAUUAUGUUUUUCUUACAUUUUUGCUGCUUGCAGAAUAUCUUCUUUUUGCUGAUGUAAUAUGUCAAAAAAAUAAUUGCCAACAGGUAAGCAUAAUGUUUGUGACUCUGGACAAAGUUGCUCCGGCAGAUCCCAAAUAUGCUAAUAUAUUCAUUCUAGAGAAGUACACUGCAUUUCAGAAUAGUACUGUUAUCUGCUUCAGUUUUAUGUUUAUAUUCUUUUGUUUCAUAGUUUUCUGGGCAGUUGCCUUUAUAAUUUACAGUAUAGUAUAAUUCAAAUAAAUUCACUUUAAUAUGCUGACAAGAUCUAAUUGAAUGUAGUCUAUAUGAUCUAGCUAAUGUGGUGCCAACUUUAGCGAAAUUUUAUCACCAAGCAAGUGAAUCUUAUGAACAAGACAUAUCAGUGUGAUCAUAUAAUAUUUAAGAAAUCUUGUUCUGCAUCGUUCUUCCUUAAAAGAAUCUACCUAAGUUGCAUGUGAUAUAAAUGGUUGUAUUCUGCACUUCUUUUGAUUGAGGACUUAAUGUACACGAUUACACCAGAAGAGGUUAGUCUCUGGACUUCCUUUUGAGCACAAAAAUUAUUGGCGUGAUAUCCAUAUACGUGGUACUUCUCAUUUUACUUGUAAUGUCAUUGUAUAUAUAUCAACAUACCCGUUGUAAAUUCAUCUCAUUAGUGCGACGCACGCUCUAUAGGACUGAAAACACUAGUAAGGCUAUAAAAAUAAAUACAAUUACAGUUUAUGCUUCACUCCUAAUAUAACACAUUUGAAACAUGUAUCUUUGAACACCUACAUGCAACUUCCUAGGGGAAACACGACAAAGGCUCUAAAACUGCAUAGUUUAAUGUUUUCAUUCUGUAGGCAAUCCCCAUGAAUACACACAUAAAUACACAUAUAUAUUGCAGUACAGAAUUACAAAAUUUCAAACCUCAAUAAUGCAGAACAAAAAAACUAUUAGUUCUCUCCAUUAUUGACAUUACCUCUGAAAUUUUAGAUGCCGUGGAGCCUACUCUCGGCUUGUCAUUCUUAGAAACUGCAGCAACAUCCCGUCCAUCACUUUUGGCCUGCAAGUUGUAUACGUCGCCACAUACAAAUAACAACAAAAUCAAUGUCCUCCAUUGUUGACCAUAAUACAUUCAUAGGUCACAUUCGGGGAAAGUGAUAACUAUCGUGUGCUGCAACAUAACUUACCCCGCUUCGUACAUGUUUCGUACUAGAACCCGUGCGAACCCCAUAUCCAGCAGAGAAUAUUUGCAGAACAAACACAAUGGUUCCAUUGAUUAUUUAACAUACAAAAAAACCCAUUCCCCCCCUACGAAACCAAAAAAAACCUAUUGCAUUACAAGCACUUCCCAAAUAGCAUAGGACAUUUUAAAAGACUCAAAAAAGUUUAAUAUCAUAGCAGUGUCAAGUGCAGAACAAAGAAAGACUUUCACUCAGCAGCUUCGCAACAUAAGGGACAUAUGCAGGACACGUAUUCAGCAAUUAGAAAGCCUCAUCUUCAAAGUCCCAAAUUCAGUCAAUGUCUUUGCAACAUCAAAUGCAAAACAAACAGAUGGUUCCAUUGAUUAUGUAGCACAAAAAAUAAACCCAUUUGGCCCCUACUAAACAAAAAUAAAACUUUUGCAGUACAAGCACUCCCCAAUUAGCAUAGGACAUUUUUAAAGACCCAAAAAAGUUUAAUAUAAUAUCAAUUUCAAGUGCAGAACAAACAAAGAGUUUCAUUAUUUACACAGCAAAAAAAUAAUUUUCAAAGAGGCACAACGAGAACUGAAGAUAAUAUGCAGGAGUACCCAUCGACCAAAGCCACCGUAAAAAUCAAAUACCGUCAACCCACUCACCAAUUAUGCGACAUACAAUUCAAUUAAAGCACAUAGAAAUAAAUUGUUGGUCGUGCCUAAGAUCAUCGUUGCAUACAACUGCAGCCUCGCCUCAAAAGAUUUAUUGAGAUUGAAGAGUCCCGCACCGCUGGAGAGUGUGGGGAAUACCUGAACUCAUAAUGCAACAGCCUAGAAUCGUCCUGCAGACAACUACUGAGCCGGUGAAUUAAGUCUGUAGAGUCCCGCACCUAGGGUUGAUCACAGCGAAAUUCAAACCCUGUUGAUAAUGGACGUAGUUUGGAGCGGAAAAUGCGGGAUAUGGCUAUAAUUUGGAGUUUAAAAUUGAUUAAAACUGAUCCUGCAGCAUUUUAAUUCAUUAAAUCUCAACCAUAGGAUCUUCUUAAAAUUUAACGGUAGAUCUUAGGGACUCCAAUUUCUCAAUUAAUAUAGUACCCCAUAGAUCUCAACUCUAUAUAUAUAUAUAUAUAUAUAUAUAUAAUAUGUUAUAUAUAAUAAUAUAUAAUAAAUGUUAUAAUUUUAUUAUAUAUUAUAUAAACGGUUCGGUUUUUCGGUUCGGUUUUAGGGGUAAAACCGUAACCGUUACCAAACCGUUAUAUCAGUUCGGUUACGGUUUUUGUCGGUUACAGUUUUUUUCGGUUUGGUUUUUCGGCUCGAUUUCGGUUUUUCGGUUUUUUUCGCUCACCCCCUGCUCAAGUCCCUUCAAGUAUUAAGAAUACACCAAAUGCCUCAAGAUUUCAAUUAUAGGAUUAAAAGGGAUGAUGGUGAAGAGGGACUCGACUUUCACAAAAUUUCUCAUGUCCAUAGACUCAUUAUCGACGAUCAGGAAUACAAUCGAAUGUUCCCUCUUUUUUUUCUGCUAAAUCAGAUGUUUGUAAGUAAUAAUUAGAGGUAAGAUUAUUAUGUGUGACUUACCUGCAAUCUGUUAUAUUAUUAUUGUGUUUUUACAACUUUUUGAUGCCUGUACUUUCUUUUUCUGUUGUUUCCGUGCAGCAUUUCAAGCUCUUGCUUGCUUCGACAGAUCCUGAACAUCAAAACUGCAUUUAAUUGGAAAACUGGUAGAAUUGGGUCAUCUAAACUCCUGUUUCCUAUUACUAGCAGUCUAGCACAGGGGUGUGGAAGCAAAAAAGAGGGUUUGGGUCUGUAUGCAUGUGUCAUGUUAAAUGAGAAAACCCAGGAGGGAGGACUGAGCUUUUUUCCUCCGGAUUUACAAACUGAAACUGAUAGAUCACAGAUUCACAAUACCGGGUAGGAUCCACCCUUUAUUUUGAAUUGCAUGGUAUCGAUUCUCAAAAUGUUAUGACAUCCCUGAUAUCUCCAUUUGCGGAUGGAAGAUGAUCUCUCACUUAUUGAACUGUGUAUUAAGCAGUACAAAGUUCCUCCUGAGCGCAGAAUUUUGUUGUUAACCAGAAUUAGAUAUGCCCAUUCCUUGCGGUCAUCUAGAAUAUGCAAGUUGUUAACCUGAUAUCUCCAUUUGCGGAUGGAAGAUGAUCUCUCACUUCUUGCCUUUGGUAUGCAAGAACUAGUGUCACUCUUGCUAAUGAGCCUGAAUACACAAAUGAAUUAAUCAGGAUUGUGAAAUCCGAAGAUACAAUCUCUACGAAUAUUAGAACACUGGCAAUGCAUGCCUUGGCAUCUCAGUUAGCUGUAUAUUCAUCAUCUCAUGAAAGGGCAGCUAUUUUGAGCAGAUCAAGCAUUAGUUUUACUGGGGGUAAUCGCAUGACUCUCCUAGCCAUUCCACAGGGAGCUAUUUUAUCACUGAAUAGCUCUAAUGACCCAUCAUCAAUUGCUUUUUGUUGAAGCUCUACUACAUUUUUUUCUGAUUCAUCUCACAUCUAUGUCAAGUUCACAUAGCGUUACUCGUGGGGCAGCACUACACAAUUCCUUGUUGAAAUAGGGGACUCUAAGCUUAAGUGUGCCCUCAGAAAAAGUCGUUAGGAGUACUUCAAUGGAGAAUGCACCUGGUAUGCUUGAAAGCUAAAGUUUAUAAUCUAUUAUGUCUUAUUCUUUAUUACAAUUAAUAAAUCAUCUAUUCUCUAUGCUGAAUUUCUUAUUUCAGUUAAUAUUUAAUAUGCAAGUAGGAUGAAUUAUUGUUGAUGGAAGGUGAUGCAAAAAUGAUGUAUGCCGGGUCCUUUUAUAAUUGUUUAGUAAUUUACCGUAGAAGUCCACGAGCUAAUGAGUUGUUAAACUUUGUUUUUACAUGCUCAUCGUUUAGUAUACAAUGAUUGUCAUUUAUUUGGGAAUUGAAUAGUGAAUUAAUAUUUAUAUUCCCAAAUGGGUUAAUAGUUCUAUUACUCUGCUGGCUGCCUGGCUCCAGUUCAAGUAUCAGUUUUUCUAAUGUAAACUCGACCCGGCUAGCUUGAGUAAACUAGACUUGACUUACAAAUCAAUAUUUGUUCUGAUAAUUCUCGACGUGAGCGAGGGCCGAACAAUAUGUUCGAAGAAACAGAGAAUAAACACAUCACUUGGAUUAUCUAAUGACGCUUAACUCGACUCAGACUUAUUUAUUGUGCUAGCAAUGCAAACUCGGACUCUAACGAAUACUAACUCGGGUUACAGCAAGGGCCCUGGAUGAAAGCAUCAGGGUUGCUCUCGCCUAAUUAAUAUGCUUUGGCAAAGGGGAAUAUAAUUAUAGAGAAUCUGAUGUGCAGAAGAAACAAGUAUAAGCUGCUUGAUUUCUUCUAUUACUGAUUAUUUAAUACGCAAGUAGAGUUAAUAGUUGUUGAUGAAGGUGAUGUUAAAAUUGAUGUUUUGCUUAUAUAUGCUGAGUCAUUUCAUCAUUAUUUAGUAAUUAGUUGUGAAAUUAUGAGCUGAUCUGUUGUUCAGCUUUGUUUUACAUGAUCUCAGUUUAGUAAUAUAAUGAUUGUAUUUGUUUACUAAUUUGCCAGCUUCAUGCAGUUCAACUCCUUUAUAUAGAGUUGUUUGGUUUGUGGCGAAGAAUAACAAAUUAAUAUGGCUGAAGCAAUUGUGUCGAUUGUUGUGGGAAGGCUCACUGAUUUGUUAACUGAAAAACCUCAAAUCCUUCAUGAAGUGAGAGAUGAAAUUGAAGCCGCUGUAGCUGGGUUCAUGCAGAUGAAAUUUUUUUUACCAGAUGCUGAUUCAAGGAUCGAUGUAGAAAGAAUCGGCAUCUUGCUCCGGGAUGUACGAGAGCUUGCCUAUGAUGCUGAACAUGCUGUCAAAAGUUUUGUUAUUAAAGCCUCAUCCACUAAAAAACCAUUUCAGUGGAUGAACAGAGGCAAGUUUUCAAGGAAGAUGAAAUAUAUACAAAAAAAGAUGUCCAUCUUCUUCGAUUU
rnacentral:lncRNA from 1 species